rnacentral:lncRNA from 1 species
GGUUCCGGUGAAGUUCGGUGAGGCCGGGAAGCAUUCGGGCGUUUCGGUGCGCGUAGGCGCUAAAACGGAGCCGAAAGGCCAUGUUGGGCCGUGAGCUAAAUCCGGCAUUAGCGAGGAUGGAAAGAUGAUGAAAACAUGUUUGGAAACAUGUUUGGAGAGUCUCGGUUCGAUUUGAGACGAAUCGGAAGUCAAACGAGCGAAAACGGGCGAAAACGGAGAAGAAACGGUGAAAAAGGCUGAAAUUUGGCUAAGUCCUUGAGGCUGAGUACUGGACCUUCGGGGACCGGUCUCUCACCGCAAGGACCGGUCUCUCAGGGACCGGUCUCUCACCGCAAGGACCGGUCCCCGAGCGCGAAAAUGGCCCCCGCGGGGGCAAUGUAAUAAAGUGAAAGUUGAGGGGUUUUUAUGCAUUUGUAGCAUUAUGAGAGUGUAUAGAAGUGGGUUUUAGCCCAUUUCUCUCUCUCCCUCAACCGUAUGAACCCAACACCCCUCCCUCUCUCCCUCUCUAACGUGAAGAAGAAGAAGAAGAAAGAGGAGAAGGAAAAGGAGAAGAAGAAAAGGGAGGAGAAGGAGAGAAGCAUCAUCAUCACCACCAUCAUCUUCUUCUUCCUCUCAACCUUGGAGCUAACACCUAGAGGUAAGCUUGAUGCUUAUUAAUGGUAGAUCUCUAGGGCUUGAGCCUUUUGCUCUAGAAUUGGAUUUAGAUGAAUCCUAGCAAGCUUAAUAGAUGUUUAUUGCAUGAAUUGGAGAUCAAUUUGGUGGAUUUUGCCGUAGUACAAAUCUAGGGCUCCAAAAUGGCGAUUUGAUUUACAGGAGGGUUUGAUCUCUUUUAACACUCUGUAAACCUAAUUGGUAGGUCUACGAACGCAACGGUGCGCUCGGUUCGGCGAUCCGACGAGUGUACGCGGAGAUAUUGAGGAUCGAAGCCGUUAAGGUACAGAUUGCCGCAGCUCGCGGCGAAAGCUUCCAAAAAUCAUGGAAAUGGAAUCGUAGCAUCGUGGUGUCGGGGAAUAAACUCCAGAACAGACGGAUCGCGGAUAGGAGGUCAUUUGGCAGUCGCGCGUGAGUUGGGUCGAGCCGUGCGGCGUGCGCCGCAGGAGGCCGAUUGCGAGUGACGACGAGCAAUCGGAACGCUAUAAAAGGUGGGUGGUGUCCAUCCCGAAGCAAUCGGGCUCCCUUUUAUGUCUAAGUUUUAUAUUGAUCAAAUUGCAUAUUGACAUCUUGCAUUAUAGGGUGAUAAAUGAUGGUUUGGUCCUAUACCUUGCAUGUUCUUUGGUAGAAUAAUGUAUUUGGCUUAGUACUUAUAUCUAGCAUGCUUGAGGUUUAUAUAUGUGAUGUGGAACCCUAUAAUGAGAUGAUAAGUGUGGAUGGGAAUUUAGUAAUGUAUUGGCUAUUGCAUUGGAAACUUGUAAAGAACGAGUGGCAUCUAGUUGAUAGUAAACAAAAGAACGAGUGACAUAUGUGAGUCGUAGUGUAUAUGAAACCUAUGGACUAUAUGAUGAUUGUGACCCUAGAGGACAGGGUAUCCUCGAGCUUAGAGGAUUGGAUCAUGCUCACGGUCUUUUAAAUCUUGUGAUGGAAGCCCCACACAAGUAGUGCGCUCCGGAUGUUGGUCACGCCAGGGAUUGCCUAUUUGGCCCCGCCAGACGGUCUCGGGUCCGUAGUGUGAGUUAAUUCUCCCUACGUGUCGAGAUGGCUAGUGAGCUGUAGGCGAGCCUUCGGGUAAGCCAUGAGAUUAAUGAACAAGUAAAUGAGGUUAAUGAACGAGUGAAUAGCUUCACCUUUGGACAUGAUAACAGGUUAGUUGCUUACCUACUUCAUUGUACAUGCAUUCAUAUAUUUAUAAUUGGGCAUAGUAGAGUAGCUUUACUUCUGUCAUUUACCGCUUUCCUAUCUAUCUAUCUAUCGAUUAUCUACUUGUGCCCGACUUGGACCUAGUGGGAGAUCGGCGGAGUCGGCGGCCGAACCCACUGGGAACUAAGGAAGUUAGUUCUCACCCCCAUUUUACUACAGGGCCGAGCGCGAGUUCACACGGCGAGGAUCGCGGUAAGGGCUUAGCGCCCUAGUUGCAUUAGUCUACUUUCCUAUUUCUGCAUUAGAGUCACCUUUUAUGCUUGAGAGUAGAUGAUGUAUAGGUUGUGAGCUAUCUUGGGAUGAAUGUAAGCUAAUGUUUAUAUUUUGGAAGAUGUAAGCUUUUGUUAUGUUUUGGAAGUUCAAUGUAUAAUCAAAUUGUAUUAUAAAGGCUGAAUGAAUGUAAUAGAUAGAUGCUCUCUCUUUAUCAUUACUCGUAUGUUCUAUACUUGUAUCUUGCUCUUGGCUGUUUUGCACUGAUUGUGCUCUCGUUGUAGUUAUCGAUUGUGUAUGUAUUCAAGUUAUUUUUUCUGGGGACUUGUUGUACACAAUCUUGUUGUUAGCCUUGGGCGGACAGGGGAGGUGCUGUCCGUCCGGCGUCUGUUCGACGCGCCCGGGCCGAACCAAAUUGGUAGCGGUCGCGGGGCGUGACAUUGAACGUCGUUUUCGGUGCAUUUUUUAGCGAAAUUCGCCUGCGGAACGCGGUUUCGGUUCAGAUUUCUUCCGGCGUCAUUUGUUUGCCCUGAUCUUUGUCGUUGAGCGUUGUCGGAUGGUCACCAUUGUCAUACCGUGACUUCGGAGAUGACGGGUGAGCGACGGUGGGUUCUGGUGUCGAAAUUGAUACUUCCGGGAACCCGGAUCAGAAUAAUUAUCCGGCGAUAAUUAUUUAGUAGUGUAUUCUUGUGUUUGCUGCCAAGACGUCCAAACCGAUGUGUUUUGUAGCAGCGGGUGACUCGUAGCACGAGUCGGUGAGUUUUGGGACACUUAGUGGGUCCCGAUGGCAUCCCGAUGUGAUUUUCGGGACUUCCGGCGAGUUACGGUGAUCGGUUUUGGGAAACCGAUAUUUGGGAUUUGUGUGGGGUUUGUGAGUCAUGUAUUCUGGAUUUGUGGGUUGGUUACUGACCCGGUGGACCUUCAUAGGUCCGGUUGACGAUCGUGUCCAGUUUGGAGACAGGCGCUACAUUAGUACAGGUGGGUGCUUCGAGCUACUAGUCGGUGAGAUCGUUUCACCUUCCUCUAUUCUUCUAUAUCAACAUUGUAGUCUCUACAUGUCGGUUGCUUUGUUUAUCGUUCCUUCAUCUAUAUAUUGUUGAUUGCAUGAUGAUAGUUGUUGAUAGACAUGUAGAGUAGGUUUGCACAUUUUGUUCAUCUAUGGAGUUUGGGUCUAGGCAACACAUUGACUCUUUUAUUGUGUGUUUCGAUCUAGUUGAUCGUGGUUCGGCACUGUAUGCCCUUGUAUCUGGCUUCGGCCAAGGCACCGGCUUCUUGCCGGUUUUCGCAUUGAGCAUAUCAGCAUGAUUUAGUCACAGCACUUGGGUGUAUUCAUUGACACAAGGUCGGUUUCGCCACCAACCAGGGGUGUACUAUCUAGAUAGGUCGUCCAGUGGGUGCAUGGAUCAGGUCGGUGCAGGUUUGUGACAGGCAACACUUGAGGUCCCUAGACCAAUAUAGCAGGCACUAGAUUGGAAACAAUUUUGGUUUGGUUAUCUUGAGGCAUGCUCAGCAUUGUAUUCCUAACAGUAGCAGUUUUAUUACUUGCUUCUUAUCAUAUCUGUUGUAGCUACUAUCGUUCUCUUUCGUAUCAUAACACAUGUACUUUGUUUAUUUUACCUCAUUUAUUUUUCGGUGAUUACGACUUGCCUUUGUGGCUCUGUCGUACCCACUGGAAAACCUUGAUUGUGGUUUCUCAUUCCCCAUUUCUCUAGGUAGUUCAGGAAAGGAGUUGGCUUUUGGGCACGACAGGAGGACGUUCUAGCUAGCCUGCAGUAUCGACCGUCACCUGGGUUACUUUUAUUUACGCUUUUAGUAAUUUAAAUAAUUAAAUAGUUCAGUUAGAUGAUCAAUACUACUAUUUAAGUAUUUGUGAACUGGUUUGGGUUGAGGUUUCUUUAUUAUGCAUGUGAUUAGAGAUUUUUAGAUCUGUGGUUUUGGAUUUAUGUAUUUAUACAUUAUGGUUUUCUACCCCCCGAGGUAGUCGGUUUUCAAAAAUAAAGUUUCCAAGUGGAAAACAGUUUUAAAAGGCUUUUCAAAUGGUUUUUAUGAAUAAUUAAAUAGAGUUUAAAAAUAAAGCUUCCGGGUGGGGAGCACUUUUAAAUAGAAUGAUUGUUGUAUUGUGCAUCGCAUCAUCCAGCGCCUAAGAAGUAUUUAGAAGCAUGCAUCAUCCCUAAGGAUCGUUAGCUGUAUGGAAUGCAUUGCAUGAAUUGUUUGUGGAUUGGCAAAUAUAGAUUGUGGUUGUGAUCCUGAUGUUAUUGUUGGUACGCCAUGCAAAUACAAAGGAGACUCUGUCCGUGUGGCCAGAGAAACUUUGUAUUUGUGGUGGGUUUGUACGUCAUGUGGGCAAGGUUAAAUUUCAAAAAAAAAAAAAAGAAAAGAAAAAAAUGACACGUUUUCCCCUACUUUGGUUUUUAAAUUUGUAUUCAUUACAAAAAGGUUUUCAAAAUUGGCCCCGGGGCAUGACAGAUUAAGAUGAUAUCAGAGUGUGAAACAACUACAACUACAUUUACAAGUUUUCUAAUUGAACCGCUGGUUAGGUUGACCCAUAGGAAGACCUAAGGCAUGUAGGCACGCGAGUGCGGGGUUUUGGGAUUGAGUCCCGGUGUGUACUUAUGUCGAGUUGAAUGGUUCGCUUGACGCUGUUUUCUGUUGCAAAUGGCUCAUAGUAGACCCCCCUCGUCCGGGUCGUGGUGGUGGACGUGCUGGUGCGGAGACAUCCGGCAGUACACGUGCUCCUACAAGUGGAGGUGGUGGGGAGCAGGUGGGCUUGGAGCUGCUGAGUAAUACUUGCACCCAGCAGCUCGUAGCCCAGAUAGCUGUUUUGAGGGGUCAAAUGAUGACCCUCUCGGGCAUGCUUCAGCAGUUCUUGCAGCAACAGGUUGCAGCUGGUGCUACCCCAGUUCCACCUCCGGCACAGAACACUCCGGCGACUGCGGAUCCUCCCGCGACCGCGGAUCCUCCCGCAACGCCUGCGCCUGCCGCAGCUCCAGCCGUGAUUACCACAUCGACGAUGGCCACCACGACGAUUUUCGCUAGGGGUACUAAUACCCCUGCAGCGGAGGGCGCCCGCAUCAGGGUGAGGUUGGGGAGUUCUCCGCCGAAGUUCGCGGGAAAGAACGAUGAUAGUUGUGCAGUCGAGAGCUGGGUUGCCCACAUGGAGAAGUUUUUUUGAGAUCCGCACAUCGAGGAACAAGAUAAAGUUCCUCUGGCUACCCACUGCAUGGAGGGUGAGGCGUACCAUUGGUGGUUACGCUACUUCGAGAAGAAACUUGCUGGGAUCUACCCACCCUGGAAGGACUUUCGGGAGCUCCUCUAUAGCCAGUAUUUUAAGGAUAGCACCAUGCAAGGUCUGAAGCGCGAGCUAGAGCGCCUCAAGCAGGGUAACCGUACCAUGACAGAGUAUGAGCGAGACUUUUCUUGCAUUGUUGAGCUGAUUCCGUUCGUGGUCCGUGAUAAGUACCACAAGACCCGGUUGUUUGCGAGAGGGCUAAGGCCCAGUAUUCGGCUUCUGAUCGCAUCCCACGGCAUGUUGACGUUCGACGAGAGCCUAGAUCGAGCCCUGAUGGUGCAAAGUGAUAUGGAUGAGGCUCGAAUCGAACAGGACGCAUCUGAGAAGAGUGAGGAUAGGAAGCGUGCACAGGAGAGUUUUGUUGGUGGCCAAUCGAGCAAUGGGCGACCACCCAAGCAUUGCAAGACGCAAUCAGGAUCGAGCAAUGCCCUUGCUACAUCUCAAAGGUAGAGCACCAGACCUUGUGUCAUCUGUGGCAAGGCUCACAAGGUUAAUGAGUGCCCACAGCGCCACAAUCAUUGUUACAAGUGUGGCCAACGCGGACACUUUCGGGCAGACUGCACCAAUGGAGUAGGAACAGUAUCUACCGUAGCGUCUACUCCAGCAGCUCCAUGGCAGGAUCAUGGCAACACGGCGUAUUCUUCGUCUGGACGCCCCUCUACAUCCCGGUAGGAAGAGGGGGCACACUAGACCACUGACGGGCGAGUCUACAUGAUGACAUGUUAGGAGAAAGAUCAAUCUGCUGACGCUGUCGCAGGUAUAAAUUUGUUUGAAGCUGUAAAUAGUACGCUUUUCGUUACAAAUGCAUCUCUUCUUGCAUCGCACGCAUGUUUUGUUCUGGUUCAUAAGCAUCCGAUCACCCUUACCUGUGAGCAAGUUUUGAGGAUGAAACUUUCUUUAAGGGGGGGAUGAUGUAAGGACUGAGAUUUUGGCAGUGUAGCUAAACUCUCUGUUGACUAUGUUUUUGUGUAUUUUAAUUACAAAAGCAUUUGUCAAGCUUCGGGGGAAAACGAGUUAGAAUAGAGAUUUUACGCGAUUUUUACUUUUCACUUAAAUUGAAUAGUAAUCCAGUUUUACGGAGAGGCCACGGUGUAGAGAUAGCUUCUGGCGCGUAUCGGACUCCGUGUAUAGUAAUCCAAUAGCUCGUUUUCAAUGGUUCAAUCUUUCUGGAACCAUUGGCACUGACGGAUUUUAGGUUUGACGCAUAGAUUUCGAGAAAUCUAGAUAUACAUGUAUUCUAUGUAUUUGUGUGUGGUUUUACCUAUUGGAGAGAGACAACGGUUUGUCGCGAAUCUGCGACCAAACCAGGUGAAACAAAAUAGUGGGUUUGUUCUCUCUGUUGUGCUGAUCGCACUGGUGCGAUCUGUUCACAAAUCUGACGGAUGGAUCUCCUGAUAUCGCGCGUUGGUCGAGGAGGGCUUUUAGAUGGCAAAAUGGUAAUUUUGCGAAAAGCUCUACAUUUUAUGUAUCGCUUUGCGUGAAAUCGAUUGUAGGGGUGUGUUCGCACAUUUUACUCACGAUUCAGUUCUAAAUACCGUGUUUUGGAGGACUUUUGCGCAAUUGGAGCUUAUUUAUAGAUAUAGCCACCUAGGGUUUUGCAACAUGCAAACCCUAAUCCUAGCCCCCAGCUGACUCCCAGCAGCCCUCUCCUCCCUCACCUCGUGCGCCGUGUGCCUGCUGGCCUUCGCUGACCCAGCCCCGAUCGGCCGGCCGGUCGCAGCCAUUGCCAUCUUUCCUACCUCUCCAUCUCUCUUACUCUCUUUCUCUCGGGUUGAGAGGAGGUCCGAGGCUGCAUUGCCUCCUCGCUCUCCGCCGGCAUCGGCCCGACCCCGUCGAAGCUUCCCCCGCUGUUCGCCGUCGCCCCCGUGUGUUGCCGCUGCCGCCUAGGCAGUUUUCAGCCUAGAGUCAGCUCGGGCCGAGGGCAUUGUAGCUCCUGGCCCGCGCUCGGCCACCGCCUGAGGUCGCCUCUGCCGCCUCCUCCGGAGCCCCGGCGACCUCCCCUACUGACUGACGACAUCACCGUGCGUUGCUGCUGCGCUGCAGCCGCCCUGCAGGCUCCCUGGGCGAGCUCGGGCCGAGCUGAGCUCGCAACCCCUCCCUUGCGCUACUGCCGCCUGAAGUCGCACCGGUGACCACCCUCGCGGCCCUCUGGUACCUCCGCUACCGGCCGGUGCGAUCGCCGCUGCUGCUGCACGCCUUGGGCGCCGCUGCUGCGAUCGUCAGACUAAGUCGAGCUCCAGCGGCUGCACCUGAGCUGCGGGCCACCGCCGCCGUCGCCCGCCGCCUCCCUUCUCCUCCUUGGGACCUCAGGGGACCCUUACCACUGAUCGGCGUCGCCUCGAGGUCGCCAUCGUCGGAGAAGCCGUGCUCAGGCCUCCCUCUCCCAUUGCAGGCUAGGGCAUCGCCGCUCGCCCUUUCGGCUGCCUCCCGCCGGCAUCUGGUGUGAGCUGCGACCUCCCCCCACCGGCCGCACCCAGAUCCCUGCCCCCUUGCCCGGCGAGCUUAUUUUGUGCUGUCUGUGUGUAGUUUUGGGUUUGUGAUCAUUUUUUCGAUGAUCCGAGGCUGUCCCGAUGCCUCCAGAGGUGAGCACAGCGAUCGGUUAUAAGUGCUGAUCAUAGUGCCCACCUCACUUUGGAUCAACGGUUUUUGAAUCGGCUGUUUUGGCGCGGUUUUCCUCGAGUGCGCACUGUUUGCUUAAUGUUCGGGUCGCUCUUGCGCCUCCCACAGUGAGCUGUUGUGCUCCGGAUCAUGAGCACGGCCUCCGGCACAUCGAGACUUAUCAAUACAUGUCUCGGUGGACCUCAAAAGUUCUCGGUUUGCGUUAACGAGCUAUAAAAUCACCUUAUUUACACAAAAUAAUAGGAUUUUAUGUAAAUGUAGGGACUUUUAUUCAAUUUGUGUAUCUUGUGGCUACUGUGGGAAGUACGUAUGUGUAUGUAAUGACCUCUGGACUGAUCGUCCAAGGUCCGAUAGCCUUCGCGGAAAUCGAACAUCAUUUUUUGUGCGUUUUUCGACGAAAUUCGCCGGUGAAACGCAGUUUCGAUUCGAAUUUCUUCCGACGUCAUUUUUUUGCCCUGAUCUUUGUCGCUGAGCCUUGUCAGCUGGUCACCAUCGUCAUACCGUGAGUUCAGAGAUGACGGGUGAGCGACGGUGGAUUCCAGUGUCGAAAUUGACACUUCAGGGAACCAGGAUCCGAACAAUUAUCCGGCGAUAAUUGAUUAGUUGUGUAUUCUUGUGUUUGCUGCCAAGACGUUCAAACCGAUGUGUUUUGUCGCAGCGGGUGACUCGUGGCACGAGUCGGUGAGUUUCGGGAUCCUUAGUGGGUCCCGACGGCGUCCCGGUGUGAUUUUUGGGACUUCCGGCGAGUUACGGUGAUCGGUUUUGGGAACCGAUAUUCAGGAUUUGUGUGGGGUUUGUGAGUCAUGUAUUCUGGAUUUGUGGGUUGGUUACUGACUCAGUGGACCUUCGUAGGUCAGGUUGACGAUCGUGUAUAGUUUAGAGACAGGCACGACAUUAGUACAGGUGGGUGCUUCGACCUGAUAGUCGGUGAGAUCGUUUCACCUUUCUCUGUCCUUCUAUAUCAGCAUUGUUGUCACGCCCCGAGCCUGCCUAUUUGGUCGGUUUCGGGCAUGCCAACAGACCGUCAAACGGACAGGGUUUCACUUGUACCGUGGACAGAGUCUCCCCUGUAUGGCCAAGACGUCACAAUCCAUACAAAGCAAUAUACGAGGUUCCAACCAGGAACAGUAUUCAAACAAGGAUUCCAUAAGGAAGUAUCAAACAUAAUUACAAUUAUGCUAUUACAAGUAUUCAUCUCAAAUAUUACACUUUACAUCAUAUUUUACAAUCUUUGAUUCUUACAUUAGCUUUCACUUAACUUUCAAAUACAAUCUUGUUUAACAUGAUUAUUACAACUUGAUUCUUUUCAUUCUUUACAUCCCUAAGUAAAGCCGACUCAGGGUACCGCUAUCUCUGGUCUCGGUGGUAGGGCGCUAACUAUGGAGCUACACCCUCGCCACGCGCCGCAGCGCCGCUUACGUGUGAACUUGUACCCCCAAAAAUAAUACGGGGGUGAGAACUAUUGUCCAUAGUUCCCAGUGGGUACGGCCACCCAAGGAAAAAGCUCGACCCACCAGGUCCAAAGGAGGCAUUGCAAACAUGUUAGUCCAACAGAUAUCCACAGAUAAUAUUUAUGCAAAUAUUAAAUACAUGUUUAUGCCUCACAAAUGCAAUAUGUAAAUCAUGCAACUCAUGCAAGUAGAUUAAUUGAAUUCUACUCUCUAUCAUGCUAUCAAUAGCUUUUCCAUAAUUUAUACAUCUUGUCACUUUACAUCAUUGGUUAUUUGCUCCUAAGGUUUUCCUCUACCAUAGCCAAGCUAACCACCCGACUCGGUCUCGAGUCAAUCAUCUGCGGAAUACCGCACACAACCAGGCUCGAGGUGAUGGACGUCUUACGUACACCUCAGCCCUGAAUCCUCUCGACUGGGAUACCAAAUCCAUAACUCAUAAUGCAUACUUGAUGUACAUUCACUUGGCUUCGAUCCAAUCUUACCGGUUAACCAUGUUAACCCCAAUGACUCACAACCCAAAAUUCCUUAAUAACGGGAGACUUGAACCUCCCUAGGGACCGUCUUCUGGGGGAACUUUACCAUGCCUAGUGGUGACCAACUCCGGAGCGCACCGCCCGAGGGGGAGCUACCUCCCUCAAGCCAAGACUUAUCGUGAGUAUCGAUCCAAUCCUCAACUUAAGGAGACAUAGCCACUAGUCACAAUGCCAUUGACAUAAUAGGUUUCGACCUAUUUGUUCAUUUCACUUUCUAAGUCAUUCUUGUCACGAUGCCACUAUGGUUAAACCUUGUUUAAUAAUCUCAUUCUCAAUGCCAAUCUUGUCUUUAUUGUCAAUGUCACCUUUGUUUACUAUAAUCAAGGUCCAUUUGCCACAUUCACACAAGUAUAGAGUUCCAACAUACAUGUCUCAUAUGGUUCAUGUCAAUUGCUAUGUUCAACUACGUUGGAAGCAUACAAUUGAGUUUCAAUAAAUAACCACAUGUCAACUACCCUAUCAAGCAUGAAUGAUACAAUUCACAAUACGUCCACGUGCAUAUGUAAACUAGCAUGAUCUCACAAUGUCAACAUUCAAAUAUCAUCUAGCAUAUUCCUCAUAAUGCUAACAUGCAUAUACUUUCUAGCAUAUUCUUUAAUGUAUCAACAUGCAUAUACUUUCACCCAACAUAAUCCAUAAUAUGUCAAUUCUUAACAUCUCAUGUAUUCUUUAACCUCUACCACAUGCAUUCUUGAUUAAUAUAAGUCUCAUGCAUUCAUUAGUAACUACCAUAUGCAUUCAUUAUUAGCAUAUAAUCUAUACAUUCAUUUAGCAUUUAGCUCAUGCCAUUAUUUACUUUGCAAUCAACUACGAUUAUGUAUGUAUGCAUAAAUUAGAAAACAUACUCCACUUUUGACAUGGAAGCGACCUAAUCGCUUCGGUAGAGCAUAACCCACCUCGUAACGCUCUCCGAUUGCUUGUAGUCACUUGCAAUCGGCCUCCCGCGGCACUCGUUGACCGGUUAGGCCCGAUCUCACGCUCGACCACUGUAACGACCCAGCCCACUAGCAAUAAUAACUCGUUAGGCCCAACAACCGGCCAAAAAUGCUUAAGCCUAGUUAUUAUUACUAGUGUCUAAGUCUCUUAUAAAUCCAAUGACAACCCCAUUCCCAUCCGAUGUGGGAUUAUUGGGGUGUCACAGACUCCCCCCGUUAAGGCCCUGACGUCCUCGUCAGUCCAAUCACACAUACAGCCUAAGAUCACCAGGCGAUGUGAGACUUAUCUUGCUAGCCCGUCAUCCAGACCCUGGCUCAGCCGAGACUCGCCACACGUGUCCAGCUGGUGAACCGGCUUUGAUACCAAAUGUAACGACCAAGCCCACUAGCAAUAAUAACUCGUUGGGCCGAACAACCGGCCAAAAAUGCUUAAGCCCAGUUAUUAUUACUAGUGUCUAAGUCUCUUAUAAACCCAAUGACAACCCCAUUCCCAUCCAAUGUGGGAUUAUUGGGGUGUCACAACCACCGAACGACCUCCAUUCCAUGAUCCGAAAAUUAAAGAUCAAUAACUUCAUGCUAAGAUGCUUCGGAUCCGUUCUCGUGAUUUUUGGACGUCGCCUCGGCCCUCCAGGUAGAAACGAAGCCGAAACAUUCGUUUCUUCAAUAUCUUCACAUAGGCUCGACGAAUUGCCGAACCGACUUCGCCAACGCGUUCGUAUACCUAGCAAUUAUGUUUACAUAGGGUUAAAUUAGAUCAAGCCCUUACAUUUUGCAAAACCACAUUUUUGAGCCCUAGGAUGCACUAUUGUAAGAAUUCAUCAUAUAAGCUCUUAAUUCAUGCAAUAGUCAUCCAUUUAGCAUCUAAGGGUUCCUCUAAAUCCAAUUCUAGAGCAUAUAAUUUAAACCUUAGAAAUCCACCAUCUUAAACCUAGCCUCUAAACAUGCUCCAAAUAACUCAAAUUAAAUGGAGAAAAAUAUGCUAACAUCACAUUAGAGGCUACUAGAAUACUUAAGCAUAAGGAUUAAAUUGAAAUCCUAGAUUAAUUCAUGAGAUCUCACCUUAGGCCACCAUGCUCAUCAAGCUAAAUCCAUCAUUGGAAAGCUUGCUUCACUAUUGGAGAGCUCCAACAUCAUCUCCAACAUCAUCUCCUCCAAAAUCCCAAUUUUGGAAGAGAAAUCUAGAGAGAUGAGAGAGAAAUCUAGAGAUAGAAAGGGAGAGUUUCUCUCUCCCUCACCAUGCGUGUGUGGUUUGUGUGUGUGCUGCAUACAGUUGAGGAGAAGAAGGAGACAAGUGGCCAAAUUCACAAGAACCCCUUGCACCUAUUAGAAAUUAUAUCUCCAGCUCAGUUUAGCAGUUCGGACACGUCGGAGCCCUUCUGAAUGUCCGUUUGCGUUCAAAUUUGACAGUCAGACUCGGUUUUCAUUACUAAGAAAGAAUAUAUCUUAAGUUUUCAGUUUCGACCACGUUUGGUCACCGAAAGCUUUACCGAACUGUAAUCUUUAGCAGAUAGCAGUCGAUUUUAUUUCCCACCUUCCGGGUGUCAGAAUGUCAUGAAACUUUAAAUCUAGUCUCAUAAAAAUAUUUCUGACAUAUUCUCUAAUUUUCGUAAUUUUCUGACACUGUGCAUUUUCUGCUAAAAUAUCAGCCUCGUCUCUCACAGAAAAUUCUAAAUCUUCUGUUUUCGUUCCGAUUUCAGCACAAGUCAUUUCUAACUUAUAUUUUACCUCUCUAAAUUCAAUAAAAAUAGUAUCUCACACUAUUUUUAUUUAUUUGUACUUUUAUACCAAAAUCUGGUAUGUUAUAAUUGUAGUCUCUACAUGUCGGUUGUUUUGUUUAUCGUUCCUUCAUCUAUAUCUUAUUAAUUGCAUGAUGAUAGUUGUUGAUAGACAUGUAGAGCAGGUUUGCACAUUUUGUAUACCUGUCCACCUUGGGUCCAGGCAACACAUUGACUCUUUUGUCGUGUGUUUCGAUCUACUUGAUCGUGGUUCGGCGUUGUACGCCUUUGUAUCUGGCUUCAGCCAAGGCACCGGCUUCUUGCCGGUUUUCACAUUGAGCAUAUCAACAUGAUUCAGUCACAACACUUGGGUGUAUUCAUUAACACAAGGUCGGUUUGGCCAUCGAUCAGGGGUGUACUAUUCGGAUAGGUCGUCUAGUGGGCGCAUGGAUCAAGUCGGUGCAGGUUUGUGACAGGCAACGCUUGAGGUCCCUAGAUCAAUAUAGCGGCACUAGAUUGGGUACAGUUUUGGUUUGGUAAUCUUGAGGCAUGCUCAGCAUUUUAUUCCUUGCAAUAGCAGUUUUAUUACUUGCUUCUUAUCAUAUCUGUUAUAGCUACUGUAGUUCUCUUUCAUAUCAUAGCACAUGUACUUUGUUUAUUUACCUCAUUUGUUUUCCGGUGAUUACGACUUGCCUUCGUGGCUCUGUCGUAUCCACUGGGAAACCUUGAUUGUGGUUUCUCACCCCCCAUUUCCCCGAGUGGUUCAGGUAAGGAGUCGGGUUUGGGGCAUGACGGGAGGACGUUCUAGCUAGCUUGCAGUAUCGACCAUCACCUGGGUUACUUUUAUUUUCGCUUUUAGUAAUUUAAAUAAUUAAAUGGUCUAGUUAGAUGAUCAAUACUACUGUUUGAGUACUUGUGAACUGGUUUGAGUUGAGGUUUCUUUAUUAUGCAUGCGAUUGGAGAUUUUUAGAUCUGUGGUUUUGGAUUUAUGUAUUUAUACAUUGUGGUUUUCUACCUCUCGAGGUAGUCGGAUUUAAAAAAUGAAGUUUUAAGUGGGAAACAGUUUUAAAAGGUUUUUCAAAUUAUUUUUAUGAAUGGUUAAAAUAGAGUUUAAAAAUAAAACUUCCGGGUGGGGAGCACUUUUAAAUAGAAUGAAUGUUAUAUUAUGCAUCACAUCAUCCAGCGCCUAAGGAGUGUUUAGAAGCACGCAUCAUCCCUAAGGAUCGCUAGCUGUAUGGAAUGCAUCGCAUGAAUUGUUUGUGGAUUGGCAAAUACAGAUUGUGGUUGUGAUCCUGAUGUUAUUGUUGGUACGCCGUGCAAAUACAAAGGAGACUCUGUCCGUGUGGCCAGAGGAACUUUGUAUUUGUGGCGGGUAUGUACGUCAUGUGGGCCAGGUUAAAUUUCAAAAAAAAAGAAAAAAGAAAAAAAUUGGCACGUUUUCUGCAACUCUGGUUUCUAAAUUUGUAUUCGUUACAAAAAGGCUUUCAAAAUUGGCCUCGGGGCUUGACAUAUGUAAUAUACAUACAUGUAUAGAUAGUAUACAUGUAUUUAUAUAAUAUACAUACAUGUAUACUAUGUAGGUUAUGGAAACCCUAAAAUCUAUCUAGAUACUAUCAAAUACCUAGAGGGGGUUGAAUAGGUGUAUAGCCCAAAAACACAAAUCUCAAUGCAAUAAAAGUAAAUGUGGAAAAUAAAAUAACACAUCGAGAUUUAUGUGGAAAAACUCAAAUUUGGAGAAAAACCCACCAGACUACCACGCGAAAAAAUAAUCCACUAAGAGAAAAGAUUACAAGGUGAUUACCGACUCCACGGACUUAACCUCUAUUUAACCUCCUAUGGAUCUCGCGCACGUCACUGGGUUGUCCACGCUCCACGUUCGAAUCUGCAAAUGCCACGCCUCACGUUUGAAUCCACGAACGCCACUCGAAUCCUCGAGCCCACGAUCCAAAUCCACAAACCGCCUUGAUCACGCUGAAUUCACGAUGCAGCACAUGAAGAGUAUCAUGUUUCUAUGGUGAUCAUUUGCGUAGAGAGUCGUUGAAGAACCAGAGAAAAAUCUCUAAGCAAAAGUUAGAUCAAUUCGACAUAUAGAUAUAGAAUUCAAUAUCUCGAAUUGACUUAAAAGAGGCUAUAUGGUGGAAAAAGAUUUAGGACGAAAAACCUAGCCUCUAGGGUUACUCUUUCAUGUAUUCUCUGUAAUUCCACGUAUUAGAGAACCCCAAUAACUUAUUUAUAGACUUUAGAAUCAAUUAGAGUAGGAUUAGAAUGUAAAUUAAAAAAUUUUACAUUGAGUACCGGUACUUGGGUGUGGGUACCGGUACGUCAGGACGAAACAAAAAUUUCCUACUGAUGCAUACUGGUACUCGGCCAAUGCAGUACCAGUACAUAGCCGAUAUAGUACCGGUACUAAAGCUAAGUACCAGUACUCAAUACAAUUAUGUUAAUUGUAUCUCUCGGGUUUUGAGGAAUCAAAUGUGGGUAUCGGUACAAUAUAAAAACUCAAUUUUUUCAAUACGAUUUUGAGGAACUGGAACUUGAUACCGGUACACAAUAUAAAAUAUUAUUAUAUUCAAUUUAAAAGUUUCAAAAACCACUUUGAAUCCAUUAAACAUUAGUUUAUAUGAUUCUAAUGUCAUAAAUAUAUACAAAUCACCAUAAAGACAACUAAAAACUUAUCUGAGCAUCGUGAUUCAUACGGUGAGAUGUUUUUGAGUUCUCGGAAUCUUGGAUUCUUCAAUUUUCGACAAUCACGAACCAAACCUUUUAAGACCCCUACUCAAAUCACGAAACUUGCCAAUACAAAAUCCGUAACAAUCUCCCCCUUUGGCAAUUUCAUGAUAAAAUCCAAAAUUACAUCAAAAAUGAAAAACGAAGUUUAAUGUCAUCACCAAAACAUCGAACGUCUCGCGUGUAAGAUCCAAACAAAAUUACAUAAGAACUCCUAAAAUAGACUCUAUAACUUAGACACAACUAGGAGUCUUGAAGUCUUGUUCCCCUGCAAAACAUAUUCUUCAAAAAUGAAAUAGUAAGUUUAAAAAAGUUAAUCUUACAUCUCCUCCUCCAUCGUCGAAAGUGUCCUCGAAGUUCAAAUCUCUCCCCCUUUGUUCAAUUCUUCUCAACCUAUGUUCUCCCCCUUUUGUCAAAAAUUGUCAAAAAUAAAACAAAAAGAGAAAACAUACUAUAAAAAGAGUAGCAGUAUGCAAUACAAAAUCCUAUUUUUUAAAGGUUUGGGUUUUGCGGUAUCCGAAUCUAGUACUCGAAAAGUGAAUUUCACAUUUAAUUCAUACAAUUCAAGUUAAUUUUCCAAAAAUUAAGAAUUGUACUCCAAAAUUAUCAUGAUGAAUAUAAAAUAUUAUAUAAUUUCGUAAUUUAUAUAAACCUCAAAAUUAAGUCAUCAAAAACAAUCUAGCGGCUCAAAAACUAUCAAGAUAUAAUGGUUUAUGAAAAAAUGACUUAUAGAGAUUCACCAAACUUGACACCAAUUUGUCACAAAAACGUUCAAAUUUGAGAUUUAGCAAAUAAAGUACCGGGGUUGGCUCUUUGAGCAUCUUUUCAUUCUAUCACCUUACAACCCCGAAAAAUUUUAAAUAUGCACAAUUUUUCAACCUUUUCGGUUAUGCAAUCAAUUUUCAUGUGGUAGCUUCACACACUUACCGGAUGACCGGGGUGGUAACUCUUUCCUUUAUGUGGUUCCACUUUGAAGCUUUGGAACCUGAUUUUUUAUGCAUUUGGCUGCUAAAACUCUAAAAUUUUCGCUUAAACUCCAAGGCAUCGUUUGGUUCGGGUAUAAGCUAGAACCGUUUAUUCCCGGGAUAGGUAUAAAUGCUGAAACAAGCUGGAACUAUUGUGGUUUUGUAUUUGGAUGAGUAUUAGGCUUGUACCAGGUAUAAGAAAAAUAGUGUUUGGAUAUAUAAGAUAGAAUAAGGAGAAAAAAUGAUAGGUAAAAGUUAAAAUGACGUUAUUACCCCUCGUGCUUAUAUUCCUAUAUAAGCAAAAUGUGAAGGCAUAAUUAAAUAUAAAUAUAGUUUGAUAUAAUUGUAUUGGAUAAAUAGUUCAAUGAAUUAAUAUAUUCUAAAAAUAAACAUAAAUUUCUAAAAAUAAACAUAAAUUUAUUUCAAUAUUUAUUGUGCCAACGUUGAGUCCAUAAUAUUAAAAAUAAUUUAUCCUAUAAAUAAAUAUAUUUAAUAAUAAUGCAAUAAGGUUUACAAUCAUGUGAGCAAAUAAUUAACUAUAGAGAAAUUAAGGUUGUUAAUAUUGUUGUAUUGCAUUGAAAUUUUAAAAUCUCCUAUGACCACUUGUAAAUAACAAGUAUCCCAUGUGCAAAAUGUCUAAAUUGUACAGAAACCCAUAUAAGUAAUGAAGCACACAAUAUCAUCAUAAUGGAAGCAACAAUACAUACCUAUGCUAAACAUUUGUGAGUUUAGCAUAAUUUAGUAAUAUCCACAACAAACCAUAUAUUACAAACUGUACUAAACAUUUACAAUAAAGCAUGUUGAUAUACAAACAUUCCAAUAUAUAUAUACAUUACAAAGUGUACCACACAUGACUAUGUAUGCAAUCAAAGAAAUACAAAUCUGCAUAUACCAUGCAAUCACAUGUAAUCAUCGCAGUUUGGUGCAAACCCAUUUAUUAUAAUUCAUUACAACUGACAAUUUAAAUAAUUAACUUCUACUAUUCCAUAACUGAUCUGUGAUACUAGUUUGAAGAUCGUCGCCCUCGUGUGAGUCUGAUGUGCCGCCGAAAUUACUCGGGUCUUCCUCUUCAUCCUCUGAAGGCGAUGAGUCAAGGUCUGCAGUAAAAUAUCUAUCAUUUUCUCGGUGUCGUCGAAUAAAGUUGAGUAUCACACAACAUGCCAUACUAAUCAGACAUUGCACUUUAUAGGGGAAUGGAGUUGCAUGAUUUAGGAUCUUGAAACGCUUCCUCAAGAUGCUGAAAGUCUUCUCUACAAUAUUUCUUAAUUGAGCAUGUCGCUGAUUAUACAAGUCCCGCGGACUUCAACGUGUGCGGCCACAUGUAUUACCAUCAAAUUGACUAAGAUGGUAUCUCUCUCCGCAAUAUGGUGCAAGGAAUUUAUCCGUAUUUGCACAUCCAGAAUCUAUCAAGUAAUAUUUGCCUUCGAAUAUUGUCGACAAAUGCAAGUCUCAAUAACAAUGUAUGAUUAUUCAAAAGUAUUUAUAUUAUAAUAUACAAAGCAAAAUAUGUGGCACAUACUUUCUGGGACAGUAAAACCUCCACUUUCGCAAGCGCAUCUUAAUACUCUCAUAUCAGCUACUGAACCUUCUCAUCCUAUACAUACAAAUAGAAAUACAUGAUUGAAUGAUAUAGGAGCCAUAAUAUUCUGUGAUGUAAACCCUUUGCGACACUGAAGCCGUGGUUGUUUGCUCUUUCGGACGACCACCGGAAUACGCAUACCAUCCACUGCACCUAUUGAAUUCUAAAAAUCAUCAAGCAACAUAAUAAUCAAUUAGUAACAAAUAAUAGGUAAUAAGGAUGGUGAGAUAAUAUAUAACUUCUACUCUAUCUUGAAAGGAUGAAAAUUAGAAUUAUCCCUAAUUCUUGGAUGCAUUGCAGCAUUACUCGAUGGCAGAGUUACGUAAUAAUCUUUCAGCAUCACAAUUCUGCGAAGCACAUUGUUAAAAUGUCGACUAAUAGUUUCUCCUGACUGUUUGAAAAGUUUCUGCAAGCACCCUAUUUGCAACCCCAUGCCCUACACAAAAAAGAAAAAUUGCUAACUGUUCGUCGGCAGUCAUAUUCCUUGUGCUAUUUAUCAGCCCUCUUCCAACAAGCUCAUCGUGGAGAGCAAUGAAUGCAGUGGUCGUGUCACGCCCCGGGACCGGCGGAGGCCCUCCCGGUAGCGUGCCCAGACCCGCCAUAUGUCUACAUAUAUAAGGCGUCUACAACAACAGUGGAAAUAAAAGCAAGAAAUAAUCUAUAUCUAGAGAUAUCAGAGCAAGUAUGAUUCUAUCAUCUAUAAAGAGAAUACAAAGAUCACAACUUACCAUAGAAGUAAAACAGUAAAAGUAAGACAUAAAGUAGUACAAUGUCUGUCUCUAGUACAAAAAUGGUGGUCUCUAUACAUAUACGGGUACAACCCUCGACCUCUUACAAAAUAAAGUAACGAGAGGUAGACCACCUAUCAAAUCGUCCUUGAAGGAAGCUAGCUCGAAGCAACUCCCUUCCCGCGGUCCCUAGCCUCUCCCGGCGUUGAAGGCUCUGAAAAACAUCGAGAAAAAAGGGCGUGAGAACUAUAAUUUAUAGUUCCCAGUGGGCAAUUACUGACUCCAGCUCAAGCUCCACUAGGCCCCAAAGAGAAGGGUAAGUAACGACAAUACUAAUAAGCAAUAAAGAGCGAGUAUAAGAACUGCUGAAAGAAAGCAUAAAUAAAAUGCUAUACUACUAUGUCUCAAGUAAGCAUGAUGUCAAAGUAUAGUACAUCUACUCUAUCAUGGUAAGUAUGUCCAAAGCAUGACUAUUAAGUUCCAAUCAUAACCGACAAGUAAGCAUCUCGGUGCAGUAUGUCAAUACAUAGGGAAUGAGCUCUAUCAAGCAACCAAGUAUACUACAAUAUCCCAAAGCUAUGUCGUGAGCAUGUCAAAGUAAUCCAACUACUAAGUCUAUCUAGUAGUGAUCAUUCAUUCUCAACACUGUGUCGAUUUCCAUUUCCAAUUAAGGACCUACCAAAGGUAGUCCAGCUUGUGCCGCCUAAGUGCCUGUGGUAGCCCAACAUCCCUACUCUUGGGAUGUGUCUGUCCCACUCGACCCCGUAGGCUUCUCAAUACCGCACGAGCGAACAUAGGUCGCGUAGGCUAACUCCGGAGUGCCGGCUUGUAGGAAGCGACACUCACAAGCAUGUGUGAAUGAGCACAAAUGGCAAGCAAGCAUAGUCAGCGUCUCACGUAUCCAAUCAUCAUGUCUCUAACAUGGUAUAGUCACUAGUAUCCCGAAGAUCUAGUUCUAAAUCACAAAAUGAAGUUCCAAUGUUCUCGAGGUCUAGUGCCCCUUUAUGAUACUUAGACAUUCAAUACUUAAGCAUGUUCCACAUUCCUCAAUGGCCCUAUCCACUAGGUUCACACAUGUCCCGAGCUCAAUGCCGCUUGAUGACAUUAGCUCUCUAAUUCACAUAAUGUUCUAGUCCGGUGCCCCUAUAUGGCAAUUUUCUUAUCUUUCAUGUCUCAAUUAAACUUAAGUUUAAAUGCAUGAAGCAAACUCAUUUUCAUUAUAAGGAACAUGGCCCAACAUAAGAAUGCUAAAUAAUCAAACAUAAGCUUCAUAUACAACUCUCUACUAUAUAGGAGUCCAAAAUUGCAUUAUAUGUAACAUAGGCAUUUUAAGCAUUCUAAAAUUUACAAUAAAUACAUAUAACAAAAAUAUGCAUGCUUUUUCAUUUUACAACACUUAAAUCAUCAACAAUGAGAUUUUCUCAUUGUGUGGCUAGGUCAAACCCACCGAACCGUCACGUAGUGCCUCGUUUUGCCGAACAAAGUUGUCCACGAGUCUCCAAAUACCCUAAAAGUAUUGAGCGAAGAGAUAUACGAGCAUUACGAUCAACUAUAAGAUCAAACAUUAACCAACAAGGCAAAAGGGCUAAAAUCUCACCUAGGGUGGAGAAAAACUCUCACAAGCUUCAAAAGAAGGCUAAGAUCCUUCCAAUCCAACCCAAAGGAGUGCUCUAAUCCAAAUAAUUUAGCCCCAAAAGCCCUAGAAUCAAAAUGCCCAAAAUAAACCCUAAAGCAACCAAACUAUCAAAAAGCAACAAAACUCAAAUCUAGAGGAAGAGAAUGAGCUACUAACCUCUUAGAAGCUUCCAACAAGGUUCCAAGUUCACCAAGUGUGGAGAUCUUCCUCCUCUCAAGCCCCAAACCCAAGCUCCAAAGGUGGAAAUGUCUUCAACACUCAAAAAGGAGCAAAAAGAGAGGUUUUAAUCUCUCUAAAUCCAAGUAAAAACCAAGAAAAUCAAAGGGGAGAGUGUGGAGGGCUCCCUUACCUCUCCUCUUGCUGGUCCCAAGCUCAGGAGAAGUCCCAAGGGCGUGGGGGAUACAUAUAGAGAGCCACAUUUGCAAAAAACACCCUACAGUUCAAACUGCUCAGAUUCUGCCAAAGUGUACCGGUACACGGAAAAGUGUACCGGUACACAUCCUACGAAAAUGCAAACCCGAGGCUCGGGUUUGAAAUUCGCCACAAGUGUACCGGUACAACCAUCAAAAGUGUACCGGUACAAAAUGUGUACCGGUAUAGCCAUCGACCUGUCACCGGUUACACCUCGUGCAGAAAGCAAUCCGAGGGUAGCCUAAGUCCAACUCUUUAGUGACCUUAGCGCUACAUAAAAUACUACAAUUCUCGGGAUUCGAACCAUAGGUCGGAACACUGUCAACGACCCACCAGAAAAUCUGAAAAAACUCAGGACAGAGUUCAAACACUCGAACCUCGCAAUUUGCAAAGAUCCAGUGUGCUUCAGGUCGUCAUUCGAAAAUGAUUGUAUCCUCGAUCGGGAUGACCAUUCAAGAUAUCACAAAUCAAUUAAUGGCUAGUAAAAGGCAUGGUAUGACAUUGCCGCUUAUUAUAUGUAUUACUAUAUGUCAAGUAUCCUUGGUCAAUGAGCAUUACAAAUACAUAAUCCCAAUAGUCAUCAUCUUCAUCUAAUAUUGUCAUUAGAUUGCUUAUGACUGGUGAAGAAAACACAAUGAAAUAUAACGACUCAUCCAUCACUGCUGCAAGAAAUUCAUAUUCAUCGCCACGAUAUUAGAAUCAUGUAUACAGUUACAUUGCAUGACAUGUAUUCCCAAUGCAUGUAGUGAAAAGAACAUAACUCACACAAUUAACAUGUAGUAAAAAACUAAAUAAAACAUAAUAUAUGAAAAUUCUUUACCUUAGCAAUGCGAUCUACCACAUUUAUCAAAUUAUGCGAAAAAUAAGCAUUACAUGUAAGUAAAGACAUGUCUAAAGGUCACAAUUACAUAAACAGUACUAAAACGUAACAUACAUGCAAAGAUUAAUGCUAAAAUAACUAAACAUAAACAGUAAGCGACGUCCACCAACAUUUAACCCUUGUUCUACAAGCCAAGAAAAUAUUGCCUAUAUAAAAUAUUUUGCGUUGCAACUUGUUGUCAACUUACAUGCAUGCUUGCUCAUCAUGCAUAGUCAUAAAAACUUGACGAUUCUUGUCGUCUCUUAACGCAUCACCCGCUACCAAAUUUUGCUCAUUUGUCAUCCCAAGCAGAUUACACACACUUGUCAUGCAUGUAUCGAUCAUAGGGAUGCUUGCUCGAUUGCUGACCUCACUUGGUAAAUCUGUCGCACUAGAUCUAGUUUUUAUUUACCAAAUCUCUGCUACCGCGUCACUCGCGGUAUCACUUUUUUUGCGUCGUCCUCUAGAUGACAGAAAACUGUAGCACCACUGUACAAGUUCCUGAAAACCUAGAAAGGUGGCAUUUUUGGGGAUGGCAUCAAGUGGAACUUUACCAAGUUUCUUGUGGCUAAAAAUGGAAAGGUUGUGGAGAGAUAUGCACCCACCACUCCACCCUUAAACAUAAAGGUCUUUACCAUCACACACUAAACACGCAUCUAUUAUUAUACAUUUAUUAACAUCUACCCUUCUGAAUUCUUUUUAAUUUGAUCUUGAGGACGUGCUCCGUGCAUGCGUCCUGGAUUAUGGCGAUGGAUGGUUCUGAUAUCUACCGCUGGUGGAGUUUACCUAUAAUAACAGCUAUCAGGCGAGUAUCGGGAUGGCACUGUCACGCCCCGAGGUCCCUUUUAGUUUGAAACACAGCGGAAAAGUGCCCAAUUUUUUUUUUUUGAAAACCUGACCCCAGGGUAUGCCAGAUCCGCCACAAAUACAGAAAAUCCACUGUUCACACGGACAGAGUCUCCCCUAUAUUUGCACGGCGUCGCACAAGUACAACAAGUAAACCGGAUACAACCACAACUAAAUGAAUAUAGAGAUAACUAUACAUUCAUAUAUUCACCAUUCACAUCACAGAUUUACAUUCAAUGUCUAACAUAAAUCCACAGAAAAUCUUUUGAAAACUGUUUCCUACACGGAAACUUCUAUCUUUUAAAAACGCUACCACGAGGGGUAGAAAACCUUUUAUUUACGAAAACCAUGAAUCCUGUUUAUUACCUUCACAAAGCCAAAUCCAGAUAUAAUAAUUAACUGAAAUACCAAAAACUUAACCAUGAUAUGUCUAAGUUAUACGAAUAGAAAUAAAGAGGAUGACGACUAAACUGAACAAACCGGGUCGGAAGCUCUAACGACCGCUACAAACGUGUCUCACAUCUCGUCUCAACCUCACUGCCCGCUUUACCUGAAAAAUGGUGGGGGAGGUGAGAACAUGUAAACAUGUCUCCCCUCCCAGUGGGUACCGCAAGCCGAAGAAGGCGAGGAGUACUUACCAGAUCAGAAAGAGAUAAAUAACAUGGGUAAGUGAAAUACAGUAGCAACGAUAAUGAACGAAUGAGAUAUAUAUAUAUAUAUAUGAAAGAAUAACUACCGCUACUGUAAUGAGAAACUGAAAGCAUACAAGGAUGUAAAAACUAUAGUAGCAAGACAACUGUAAAGAAAGACUGUAAGUAUACAUGCAACAAUCGCUACUAUAGCUAUAUGCGUCAACCGGACGAGAAGUCCAAAUAUACCCAAUCUGAAGACUUGGCCCUGUUGGUCCGCACGGCAGACCUCAAGCCUAUGCCACUGCCACUCUACCUGUGUAUAACCCAAGGUAGCCUAUGGGCUCACAGGCUGCAUAUAACCCAAGGUAGCCUAUCGGCUCAUGGGUUGGCACACCCAACCACUUUUCCGGAAAAAAACACCCUCUUGCGGUGGAUCAGACAGCUGGUGUUCGUAAAAUGCGUACGAGUCUCGGGCGAUCAAUGCUGAUAUGCUCAAAAGCCAACCGUCGGCAACUAGCCGACAAUCACUGCCCCUCGGGGCAAACCGACCAAUAGGUCAUCAAACUGUAAGGAAGCACUAGAACCGACCACUCAGGUCAACUAGGAUGGAACAACUCAACAUCCUCUCAAAUGUAUGCAAGUACUGCUCAAUGUCAGCUAACUGUAUACUCAAGAACCGACCAAUAGAUCACACGAAUGUCACAUCAUGUAUCACUGAAAUCCAGAACUACCGUCAGCCACUAGCCGACAAUCCAACCCCUCAGGGUACACCGACCUCAACGGUCAUCGAACGACAGAAGUCAAGGAACCGACUGAAUAGGUCACAAAUAUGAGAUACAAGAACUGACCAACCAGGUCACUGAUACGAAGUACGAGGACCGACCAACCAGGUCACUGAUAUCACAUACAAGUAAACUACUCCACUCCUACACAUGGUACUAAGUAUGGAAACAUCUGAGUAGAGUAUAUCCAAAACAACAUGGGUGUUAGGCUCAACACUAUAUAUGAAGAUAUAUAUAUGCCAAAUAAUAAUGAGAGUUAGGGUAAGAAACCAUCACCGAGCGUGCACCACUGUACCGACUUCGGAUCGAAGUACCCAUCUGUAAGGAUGUCGCGCAUGUCUCCUGACUGCAAAAGAACGUCAACUGGACCUAAGGAAGGUCCACCAGGUUAGUGCCUAACCCACAACUAAUAACCACAGUAUCACAACUCCACAAACAAUCCCACGGAGAUCGAUUUCCCGAAACCAAUUACCGUAACUCGUCGGAUGUCUCGAAAAUCGCACCGGGACUCCGUCGGGACCCACGAACUGUUCCGGAACGCACCGACUCGUGCUACGAGUCACCCGCUGCCACUAAACACCAUUAAUCAUGGGAUUUGGCAGCAAACACAAGGAUACAUAACCAAACAACUAUCGCCGGAUAAUUGUUCGGAUCUAGGUUCCCGGAAGUGUCAAUUUCGACACCGGAACCCACCGUCACUCACUCGUCAUUUUCGAACCCUCGAAAUGACACGAGUGACCAGCCAACAAGGCUCAGCGACUGAACAAUCCACCACGAGGCACCGUCGGAUGAAUUCCGAAUCGAAAACACGUUCCGUCGGCGGAUUUCGCCGAAAAACGCUUCGAAAAUCACUUUCCAAUUUCCACAAAGGCUUGGGGCCUUGGACGAUCAGUCCAGAGGUCACCCUCUGCUCAUACAUACUGCCAACAGCAGCCGCGACAAACCAAAUUGCAUAAAAGCCCUCCCGAUAGCAUGAAAUCGCGUUAUUUCAUGCGAUUUUCGGGCUUUUAUGGUCCGAUCGUGCAAUCCGAUAACCUUCCUGCUCCGUCGAGACACCCGCCAACAGGUCUCGGCAUGCCGGAGGCCAUGCUCACUUUUCGGAGCACUGCCAGCCCUGUGGCAAGCGCACGAGCGACGCGAGCGUUAAUGAAACAGCGGGCACAGCGCCUAAGUCGCGUCUAACUCGCUAACCAGGGCAUCUCUGACCCUGACGGAGGUGAGCACGAUGUUCAGCACGAAUCCAAGAUCAUCGUGCUCACUUUCCGAGGUGUCGGGGAAUCAUCGGAUCACCGGAAAGGUGACCGAAAACUCAUAUAGUGUGUUGGAAUUAACAAAACAGCCUUACCGGAGCAGUGAGAGCUAAGGUUGGUCGCCGGCGGCCGGACGGGGUGCGCUCCGGCAAGGGACGGGUGCGGCCGGUCAGUGCGGUCCGACGCACCUGAUCGCCGGCGGCGGGAGGCGGCCGAUGGCGCAGCGGCAGAGAUCAAACCCGGCUACUAGUUCUCGGGUUCAAGGGCUCUGGCGGGCGGGCGGCGGCCGGAGGAGCUCAGGGCGACGGCGAUCCGUCGCCGGAGGCCAAGGGAGGGACGGUGCGCCCCUCAGUGGGCGACGGCGACACGCAGAUGCCAAGGGGGCUCGACCUCGGCCCGCACACGGUCUGGGCGACCGCAAGAAGCCUGAGCGGCGGCCGGAGGCUUCGGGGACGACGGCGAUGGUGCGCGGGGAGUCACCGGCGGCCAAAGGGUGGCGGCACUGCCCGAUCCAGCUAGCAGAUGCUCGCGGGUCUCGAGCUAAGGCGAGCUCGGCCUAACUGGGGCUAGGUUGGCCGCAGGGAGCUUGGGCGGCGCAGGUAGCGCACGGAGGCGGCCGGGGUCAGCGGGGGCGGCGUCGGAGGGUUCAAGGAGGACGAUGAUAUCAGUCCUGAGCGGCGGCGGUGCGAGGAGAAGAAGGUUUCUUAGCCUCGGCCUGAACUGCUCAAAGUUGGCCGCGGCUUGCCAUGGCGGCGGCGGUGGCGCUCGGGGGCGGCGGCGACGGAUAGGGAUGGUCGCCGGAUGUCCGGGCUCGGCCAAGGGUGGAAACCCGAGAGUGCAUGUUGGUCCCUGAGCUCGGCGGCCAUGGAGGGAGACGGUUAGGUAGAGAAGAUGGUGGAGGAGAGGCCAUCCAGCUUUUCCGGCGGCCGGGGAGGCUUGCCGGCGGCUGGGGCACGAGCACAGCUAGGGCACCAAGGUGCUGGUGAUGGCUGGGGCACAGCUGAGGCAACUGGUCAGCUAGGGUUAGGGUUUCCCUUAAGAAACCCUAAGUACAACUUUUAUACAAAAGGCUAGUUUGCAUUAAAGUCCCUCCAAACUGAUUAUUUGCAAAUCAGUCCUUCACAGCGCAAGUAUUUUACAUGUAUGCACCUCCUCGUCCGAUUUCGCGCGAUUCGGUACAUAAAAUAUUACGACUUUUGCGAAGUUUCCGAUUUGUCACCUUAGACCCCUCUGUGGAGAAUUUGCAAUUUCCGAAGAUUGGUCGGUCAGAUUUCCGAACAGAUUACGCCAGCGCGUUCAGCACGCCUGGGCAUCGAACUCACAAUUUUGUGUCACUUGAUAUGAUCGCCGAUUUGCAAAGAAAUCCAUCCACUCUCCAAUUAUCAAAACUACGCAUAAAUACAUAUAAUACAUGUAAUUUUAGAUUUCUCAAAAUCCGUGCGUCAGAUCUGAAAUCCAUCAGCACCAAUGGUUCUAGAAUAGCUGAACCGAUCAAAACGAGCUAUUGGAUCGCUAUGAACGGAGUCCGAUACGCACUGAAAGCCAACUCUACUCCGUGGCCUCUCCAGAAAAUCGGAGUUACUAUUCACUUUAAGUGAAAACUAAUAAUCGCGUAACUUCUCCGUUCUAACUCGUUUUCUCCUGAAACUUGACGAGUGCUUAUAUAAUUAAAUUACACACAAAAACAUCGUCAACAGAGAGUUUAGUUGCACUGCCAAAAUCUCAGUCCUUACAGGCACCGUACGAGGCUUUGUAUGGGCGUCGAUGUCGGUCUCCUAUCUGUUAGGACGACGUCGGAGAACACCGGUUCAUCGGGCCAGACUUAGUGGAGGAUAUGGAGGCAAAGAUCCACAUUGCGAGAGAGCAGCUUUUGACUGCACAGAGUCGACAGAGGAGCUACGCGGAUCAGCGGAGGCAUGACCUAGAGUUUCAAGUCGGUGAGCAUGUGCUGCUCAAGGUGUCGCCAUCCAGGGGGAUCAAGCGGUUCGGUUUGCGGAACAAGCUCAGUUCGCGAUUCGUGGGACCGUUUGAGAUCCUGGAGCGCGUCGGUUCGGUAGCAUACAGAUUGGCUCUUCCUCCGAGUCUCGCUCGGGUGCACAAUGUCUUUCACGUGUCCAUGCUUUGGAAGUACAUUCUGGAUCCGUCCCACAUCAUCAACCGGACGUCUAUUCAACUGCGGGAGGAUCUGAUCUAUGAUGAGGCUCCGUUGCGCAUUUUGGCACGUGAGGUGAAGCAGUUGCGAAACAGGAGCAUUCUGUAUGUUAAGGUUCAGUAGGAAAAUCAUGAGGAGCGCGAGGCUACGUGGGAGCUUGAGUCCUCUAUGCGGGAGCGAUAUCUGCAGUUGUUUGCGGGGGGUGCUUGAUUUAAGUUUCGGGGACGAAACUUCCUGUAAGGGGGGAAUGAUGUAAUAUCUGAGAUUUUGACAGUAUAACUAAACCCUUUGUUGACGACGUUUUUGUGUGUAAUGUAAUUACAUAAGCACUCGUCAAGUUUCAGGAGAAAACAAGUUAGGAUGGAGAAGUUACGCAACCGGUACUAAUCACUUAAAGUGAAUAGUAACUCCGAUUUUUCAGAUAAGCCAAUGAGUGGAGAAGGCUUCUGGUGCGUAUUGGACUCCGAUCUUAGUGAUCCAAUAGCUCAUUUUCGACGGUUCGACUAUCCUGGACCCAAUGGCACUGACGAAUUUGGGUUCUGAUGCACGGUUUUCGAGAAAAAGAGUUUUAUUGGAUCUAUAUGUAUAGGUAUGGUUUUAGGAGAUUGGAGAGGGUUGGUUUUGUCGCUAAUCGACGACCGAAUCGGACAAAAUGAAAUGCUAGAUUCGAUGCCCUAGUCGUGCUGAAUGCGCUGGCGCGAUCCGAUCAAAAAUCCGAUGAAUAGAACUUCGAAAAACGUGAAAAGUUUGCUGAGGGGUCGAAAUCGGCAAAACGAAAAAUCUGAGAAAAGGCUAAUAUUUUAUGCGCCGUUUUGUGCGAAUUCGAACGUCGAGGGACUUGUGUGCAUAAUACACGUAUUUACAGGGACUAAGUUGAAAUUAAUGAGCAGGGGUGGACUAAAUUGCAUUUGUGCCAACUAAUAUAUAAGCUAAAGAUCUAGGGUUUCCAUGAGAACCCUAACCCUGGCUGCCCUAGUCUACCCAGCUAACCCUAGCCGUCCCACCUCCUCCCUGCCCUCGCCGUGCACACGCCUCGGCCGUCGGCAAACUGCUCCGGCCGUUGAAAAACUUCUCCCCGGCCUUCCACUAUUUUUUCUCUAUCCAUCUUGCCUACUUCUCGGCCGCCGAGUUGUGGGAGUCAUCUACACCCUUGGAGUCGUCAUCCCCUGGCCGAGACCCACCUUCGGUGUCGUCCCCGCCGGCCCCCGCCGUCCACGCGCUCCGCCGGCGCCGCUGGUGCAAACCGCGGCCAGCCUAGGUCAGCUUGGGCUGAGCUUGGUUAAACUCGAGACCCGAGUGCAGUCGCUGCCCUAGGUCGGCCACCCCGCCUCCCUCUGGCCGCCGGCACCCCCCCGCGCGCCAUCGCCGCCGCCCCCGUGGCUGCCGGCCGCUGCUCUCACUCUCUGCGGCCGCCCAGACUUUGGGCGGGCCGAGCUUGAGCCCGCGGGGUCACCGCGCACUGCCUCUGCCCACCGUCGGUUGCGCCGUGCUCCCUCGGCCUCCGGCGACCUUCCGCUCGCCGCCUCGUCGUCUCCGAAUGCCGUCGGCGACCGCUCGUGCACCCUGCGGCCGUCCAGAGUUGGUGCAGGCCGAGGCGGAGCUACCUCGGCCAUCGCGCAUCGCUGCCACCCACAGCGGGGCGCACCGCCCUCCCUUGGCCUCUGGCAACCGGUUGUCGCCGCCCCGGAGCUCCCCCAGCUGCCGCCCGGCCGCCGUCGCCUUUGAACCCGAGGGUAAGCUUGCGGGUUUGAUCUCUGCUGCCGCGUCACCGGCCGUCUCCCGCCGCCGGCCAGCAGGUUCCACGGCCCCCACUGACCGGCUGCACCCGUCCCCAGCCGGAGCGCCCGCCGUCCGGCUGCCGGCGACCAACCCGUGCUCCCACUGCUCCGGUAAGGCCGUUAUUAAUUUUAUGCACACUGUUUAGGGCUUCCAGUUGCCUUUUCGGCGAUCCGAAGGCACCUCGAUAACUGUGAAAGUGAGCACGAUGAUCCUUGUUUCGUGCUGAACAUCAUGCUCACCCCCGUUGGUGUCAGAGAUGUUCCGGUUUGCGAGUUAGACGCGAUUUAGGCGCUGUGCGCGCUGGUUCACUGAAAUUCGCGUCGCUCGCGCGGCCACCAUAGUGGCCGGCAGUGCUUUGAAGGGUGAGCACAGCUUCCGGCACGCCGAGACCUGUCAGCGGGUGUCUCGGCUUGGCAGAAAGAUUAUCGGUUUGCGCUGUCGGACCAUAAAAGCCCGGGAAUCACAUAAAAUAAUGUGAUUUUAUAUAAUUGGAAGGGCUUUUAUGCAAAUGUGUUUGUUGUGGUCGUUGUUGGCAGCAUGUGCGGGCAGUGGGUGACCUCUGGACUGGUUGUCCAUGGCCCCAAGCCGUUCCGGAAAUCAAAUAUUGAUUUCCGAUGCGUUUGUCAGUGAAAUCUGCCGAUGGAACGUGUUUUUGGUUUGGAAUUCUUCCGAUGGUGCCUUGUGAUGAAUUGUGUCAUCACUGAGCCUUGUUGGCUGGUCACCCGCGUCGUUUCGAGGGUUUGAAAACGACGAGUGAGCGACGGUGGGUUCCGGUGUCGAAUUGGACACUUCCAGGAACCCGGAUCGGAACAAUUAUCCAACGAUAAUCAUUUCGGAGUGAGUUAGUGUCUUUGCUGCCAAGUCACACGAAGAUAUGUGUUUAGUGGUAGCGGGCGACUCGUAACAUGAGUCGGUGAGUUCCGGGACAGUUCGUGGGUCUCGGCGGAGUCCCGGUGUGAUUUUCGGGACUUCCGGCAUGUUCGGCAAUUGGUUUUGGGAGACCGAUUCCCGUAGGUUUGUCGGUGGGGAUGGUGAGAAGCGUUUUGUGUUCGUGGGUUGGAUUCUAAUCCUGUGGACCCUUCGUAGGUAUGGUUGUUUCGUCUCCGCAGUCAAGAGACCAGUAUCAGAUACGUACAUGUGGGUACUUCGAUCCGAAGUCGGUACAGUGGUGCACGCUCGGUGAUAUCCUCUAACGUUUGUUCUCCUACUGUUAUUAUUGCUUAUUAUAUAUUGAGCCUUGAACCCAUGUUGUUUUCGUUAUACUCUACUCGGUUGUUUCCAUGUUUAUUAUCAUGAGUAGGAGUAGAGUAGAUUUAUCUGCAUAUGAUAUGUGUGACCUGGUUGGUUCUCGUAUUUCACAUCUGUGACCUAGUUGGUCGGUUCUCGUAUUUCACAUCCGUGACCUUGUUGGUCAGCUUAUUCGGUUGGACUAUUUGAUGACCUAUACGGUCGGUGUGCCCUGAGGGGGCAGGAUAGUCGGUUGGUUGCCGACGGUUGGCUAUUGAGCAUAUCAGCAUUGAUCGCCACUGCUCGUACGCAUUUCACGAAUACCAGUGGUCUGAUCUACCGCAAGAGGGCGUUAUUUUUCGAAAAAGUGGUUGGGAGUGCCAGCCCGUGAGCCCAAGAGGGGUUAUAUGCUUUCAGACCCAAGAGCUUAUGCUGGGGUCACAGGCCUGAGGUGUUGUGGACCAAUAUGACUUGUUUCGGUUUAGAGCUGUUGUGGCACAAGCCUGAGGUGUUGCAGACCAAUAUGGCUGUUCCAGAUUGGGUAUUUUGGACUCGUUGUCCGUUGAUGCAUACAUACAGUAGCGGUAGUUGUUCUUUCAUAUAUAUAUAUAUCUCAUUCGUUCAUUAUCGUUGCUACUGUAUUUCACUUACCCAUAUUGUUGUUUAUCCUCCUUUGCUGGUGAGUACCCCUCGUCCUCGUCGGCUUGCGGUACCCACUGGGAGGGGAGACAUGUUUACAUGUUCUCACCCCCCACCCCCAUUACCGGUGACGUUGCGGGUCCCAGUGGGACGGUUCGUGAGGAGCACGCCUAGUGAGCGUUAGAGCCACCGUCCGGUUUUUGGUUUAAACUCUAAACUCUGCUUUCAUUAAAUAAUUGACUUAGAAAGUUUAAAUGGUUCAGUAUCUUAUUAUAUUUGAAUAUUCGGGAUUUCAGUUGAUUUUGGGAAUGUAAUAAAGAAUUUAUGAAGUUUCGUGAAAUAGAAAUGGUUUUCUACCCCUCGUGGUAGCGUGUUUUAAAAAGAAAGAGUUUUCGUGUGUGAAACAGUUUUAAAAUGUUUUCUCGUGGUUUUUGUAACUUAGUAUUUCAAAACCAGUUUCUGAGUAAGAAAUAUUUUAACUAAUAGUUGUGGUUUUAUGAUUAGACUCUGAAUGCGAAUCUGUUAUGAAUGGUGUAUGAAUGUAUAAAUGUAUGAAUGUUUGUAUAUUCAGUUGUGGUGGUUGUAUACUGUUUAUGUAUCUUGUACUUGUGUAACGCCGUGCAAAUACAGGGGAGACUCUGUUCAUGUGAACAGUGGACUCCCUAUAUUUGUGGCGGAUCUGGCAUACCCUGGGGGUCAGGUUUUCAAAAAAAAAAUUGGGCACUUCCGUUUUGUUUUAAAUCAAAAUGGGACCCCGGGGCAUGACAUUCUUCCCUUUCCUUUCCUCUUCGUCUUCCCUCGUGGUUUACUGUAUGCCUUCGAUCACUAGGUUUGGCAGCCAUCGACAGAUCUGGUGCCACCGGAUCUCUUACAUCUUGGCUACGGCUACCUCCUCUUCCUCCGAAGCAAGCCUUUGUCUCGCCUCGUGCGCCUUUCGGCUUCGUCCUACUUCUCAAGUUGCUGUAUGGCUACCAUCGGUUGAUUUCGGGCCUUUCAGUUGAAGCAUAGACACCAGAUCCACUAGAUCUGGAUCCAUUUUACACAAGAGAAACCCUUGUGUGCAGGUUUGACUUGCCUCCUGUUCCUACGACACCCUCCACCUGCGCAGGACCCUCUCUGUGGCCUUGCGUCUCUCCAAAGCUGUGCUCUUACUUUCCUACAUCCCUUACUGCUUCUUGUUGCUGCUCGAGCUGCCGUACGACUGAGCUCCUUAGCCGUUUCCUCCCUUCCCCUGACCACUAGGUGCAGAUCUCGUAGAUCUGACUCUAUUCGUGUAAAUUUUGUUAAUUUUGCAAGUAUUUUUUGUUGGCGGCGUCGCCACUUCAUCUUGAAGCCCCUAUUGUUUAAUAGGUAGAAGGCCAUAGAGUCUGGAUCUCGUGGAUCCUGCUUGAUCUUUGUGCGGCCUACGCAUUGGAGAUCAUUUUCUUGCCUCCCCUGUUUAAGGUGUCCUGAUCUGCUAGCAUAAGGUUUGGUCUAACCAAGGUUUCAUUGCUCUUAUGUUUGCUCUACCUUUUUAUGCUUGGAGGAUAUAUUAUUUACUCAUUUGCAUGAUAGUAUUGUAAGGCACUGUAUCCUCUCUUCAUUCAUGGUCACUAUAUGCUGUCCCUAAUAAUGUGAACCCUGUGUAAGUAUGUUGGAUUUUAACUGUGAUGUAUAAGAUUGUCAGAAAGUACUAAGAUGGACUGUAGAAUUGAAAACAGGACUUUGUAUGGCAAUGAAGGAUGCGAAAGAUGAUUUUGGCGAUGAUGACAAUUUUCAGAAGCAUUUGAUGGAUGGCAUGGAUCUACAAUUCAAUGCACCCCCAUGCUCUUUGGAAACCACUUUGAGCCUCAUGACCUAAAAGACCACCAUAAAAUGCAGAUUUUUGUCUCAUUAAAAUCUCUUUCUAGUGCAUCCUUCGUAUGUAAUCAGUUCUAGUUGUCACAUGGCUUUUAUAGUGGACCGUUUGUCUUUCUAGUGCAUCCUUCGUAUGUAAUCAGUUCUAGUUGUCACAUGGCUUUUAUAGUGGACCGUUUGUCACUUGUAUUUUAUUGUAAUAAGUUGCUACUACUACUUCAGUUUUGGAAAUAGUCUUGCAAGUGUUUGGACAUAGUCAAACAUAUAUAUGCUUAGCUGCUACUAUAUGUCUGAUGUUGUGUGCUUGCCACGUACACAUAUUUAUUUGUGUUAAUCCACAUGAACGGUUUUUGGUGAAGUGAUAUUUUCUUGAACUACAGAUGUCUCCUGUCAAGAAAUCAUCUACCUUAGUUCAUAAGAAAGGUGUGGUGUUCGAAAGCACACCAACUGAAAAUUUACAGAUUGACGGAAGUAGUAGAUUGCAUAACCAAACUUGGAAGCAAACUCCAAAUUGGACACACAGUUUAGAUGCAAGCAUGCUAAGUUGGCUGACAGAAGAAAACGUUUUAGGAAACUACAUCAAUGGGUCUUUCACAAACGUUAUGUGGACUAGGAUAAUAAUCGAUCAACUGUAGGAACAAUAUGAACCUAACAAAAGAGCAAAUAAAGAAUCAACUUAAAGUUCUAAAGAAAACUUUUAUGUAUACAAUUGUCUUGCAAAUAAGAGUGGGUAGGGAUGGGAUUAUGUCCACAACAUUUCCAUGGCUGGUGACCCAAGUGACUGGGAUGCAAUAAUAGCGGUACAAUUUAAUGACUUUCAUUUCAACUUAUUAUUACACUAGAUUCUUACUUUUAUUUUCAUAAUUGUAUUAAUCUUUGUUCAAGAGAAUCCGACGUAUGCAAAAUGCAAGGAUAAACUCUUUCCAACCUAUAAGGACAUUGCGUUCCUUACUGCAAAGACAACGGCUACAGGAAGAUAUGGUUUUUCAUCAGGAAUGGCGGCAGCCCCUAUAAUAAAUAGCUCAUCCUCAUCAUCUCCUGGUGAGGAUGAAAGUAUAAUUGGAGAGAGCGUCUACAUUCAAUCUCCAACCUACUCCCUUCAAAGCAAAGUCAUCUGGCUCGGCUUUCAAUGCCAAUCCCAAAAGCAGUAAUAUCUCAUGGUCCCCUAGCCCUACCAUUGUUCCCACCACUCCCACAGCCUACCAAUCCUCCACGAAAACACCAUUUACUUCAAUCUAGCAAAAGAAUGAACAUGAGAUGAAAAAGGAGUUUGUGUAGUACUAAGAUAUCUAUAGAGGACAAUAGAGUAUAAAUAAUAACUUCUAAUUCAACCUUUUUGUAGACAUGUAGUUUCUUGUAGGAAUAUAGCUUUGCUUAUGUUAAUUUAGCUCAAAGAUGAGGGAUUGAAAUAGAACAAGGGGAACUCUCUCUUUUUUCUUUUUCUUUUUUUCAAUUUCUAGGGAAAGCCAUGGAAUGAUUCCCUAUGGGAACGUAAGCAUACUGGUAUUCAGAAAUUUCUCUCUACAAUAUGUUCAAGUAUCUGUUUUAGGACAUAAUGAUGUUUUUUCUUAGGAAUGAAAGGUAGGUACUCUAAGAUGAAAUGUCUAAAUUGUAAAACAUUGACUGAUGCUACUGCUGUUGUUACAUAUCAAUUAGAAAAUGUCUGUUUAUCAUUACCUUAUCAAAGAUCGGAAACUCAGCUUUGAACAUAGUGCAUGCAACUUCUUUAAUUUCCUCAUUACUUCCCGGUCCCUGACCAGCAAACUAGUUGAAUGGAAAUGCUAACAACUCAAAUCCUGAGAAAAUAAGAUUUUAUUGUUUCACUCACUUGAUUUUUCUUUUUUUUUUUUUUGCAGGAAUUUUCAAAAAAGAGGUAGGUUUGGUGUUUAAUUCGGAGUGGAUUCAUUAAAUAACAAGAAGAACUCAGUAGAAAACUUUGAUUUCAUAUGGAUUUUAUUUCUCUUAGAUUGAAAACUUCUUUGAAUAAAACUUUUGAUUGGCAAUUCUAUUUUUACUGUGCAAACCCUAAUUGAUUAAAUGAUUUGACUUUUCUUGUUUGACAAUCGUCGUAUGUAAUCAAAUUUAAAUUUGUUUGAAUGAUGAAUUUGUUCUUAUAUCUCAAUUUAAAGAGUCUUAAAAUCUUGUUUAGUUCGUUUUUAAUUUUAUGUUUUAUAUUUUGGAUUGGAUUCACAAUAAUUACGAAACCGGCGUUAUAAAUUUACUAAUUUAUACUAGCGCUUUUUAUUAUAUUUAGUAGCGGUCAGAGAAGCGUUACUAAAAUUAUUAUCUUCUCCAACGGUUGUGAACUGUCGGUAAAGACUUUUAGCGACAGAGAUCUAACAGCAGUUAUAAAAUUUUUCCCGACGGUUUUACAAAUGUCGGGAAACAUUUUUCCAGCGGUUCUAGAGACUUUUCCCAGCGGUUUUGACCGCUAGCUUCUAAAACCUAAUUUUUUUUGUAGUGUAAUUAUGAACUAGUGACUUAUACUUGACAUAGUAAACAUGAACAUGCAUGUAAACUAAUAUUGGCUUAUAGUUGAACGUUUAUGUAAACGGACAUUGGCAUAUAACUAGAUAAAUGAAUUUAGAAUAUCAUGUAUUUGAUUUAGAGUUGUUGUUAGACUCUUGGGUUUAGUUGCUCACUUUGUAUAUUUUUUUUAUGGAUCUCUUUGCGAUAGAACUUCAGUGACUUUAUAUUACUCGCUCUGAUUGCCUUGUUAGGACUUNGAUUGAGAAAUGGGUGGUUACGAUGAUGUGGGCCCGUAGGGUUGAGUGAGUGGUUAGUUGAAUAGUAUAAUCUAAUGGGUAAAAAUAAUCAAAGGGUUAAAUCUAACGUUGGAAAACUCGAUAGCACCAAAUCCUUGGUGCUAUCUAUAGAUAUGCUAGCCUGAUUCUAUCUAUAUAUAUCUAGUAUAUAUGCUACUAUACUAUCAAUAGUACCAUGUUCUUGGUGCUAUUGACUUUUUUAGCCGUUGGAUUGAGUAGAUGUGCGGUUAGGAUGAUAGUGGUCUCCCUAGGGUUGAGUGGGUGGUUGGUUUAAUAGUAUAAUCUAACGGGUGGAAAUGAUCAAAGGAGUUGAUCUAACGGUAGAAAACUUGAUAGUACCAAGUGCUUGGUGCUAUCGAUAGUAUAGUAGCCGGACUCAUAUAUAUAUAUAUAUAUAUAUAUAUAUAUAUAUAUAUAGCAAGGCUCCUAUGCUUUCGAAAGUACGGAAGCCUCCGUACUUGUAAGUUGUUUUCAAUAAUGGGACAUCCGAUUCGGCGAUCAGUUCUGUUAGACAUGAUAUACGCUAUUAGAACUACCUAGAAACCAAAUUUCAUAAUUUUUUGACUUUGUUUAUCUAGUAAACAAGUAGCCUCAAAAUGAACGGCUGAAAAUAAAAAUUUCAUAAAAAAUAGUGAUAAAGACUAAAAUUUCAAAUCGGAAGUAUUGGUCUUACUAUUGAUGUUAACGUAGAAUUUUCUAUUAAAUUUUCAUCUAAUUUGGAUACUUCUACACCGUUGAACUUGAAAAUGUGCCACAUCGGCCGUUAAAAUAGUCAUUUUUGAGACCUUUUGAUCGCUUGGUAAAUAAUGUCAAAAAAUUAUAAAAUUUGGUUUCUAAAUAGUUCCAAUAUGGUAGAUUAUACUUAACGGAGCCGAUCGUCGAAUCGGAUUUCCUAUCAUCGAAAACAACUUACAAGCACGGAAGUCUCCGUACUUUCGAAAGUAUAGGAGAUAUAUAUAUAUAUAGUCCUGCUGCUAUGCUAUCGAUAGCACCAAGCACUUGGUGCUAUCAAGUUUUCUGCCGUUAGAUUAACUCCUUUGAUUAUUUUUACCUGUUAGAUUAUACUAUUCAACCAACCACCCACUCAAUCCUAGGGAGCCCACAUCAUCCUAACCGUACAUUCCUCAAUCCAAGGGCUAAAAAAGUAAUAGCAUCAAUAACAUUGUGCUAUUGAUAUAUAUAUAUAUAUAUAUAUAUAUAUAGAUAGAGUCCGGCUGGGGUACUAUCGAUAGCACCAAGGAUUUGGUGCUAUCGAGUUUUCCAACGUUAGAUUUAACCCUUUGAUUAUUUUUACCCAUUAGAUUAUACUAUUCAACUAACCACUCACUCAACCCUACGGGCCCACAUCAUCGUAACCACCCAUUUCUCAAUCCAAGGGCUAAAAAAUCAAUAGCACCAAUAGCUUGGUACUAUUGAUAGUAUUUCAGUCUAAUUAUAUAUAGAGUCCGGCUAGGGUACUAUCGAUAGCACCAAAAAUUUGGUGCUAUCGAGUUUUUCACCGUAAGAUUUAACCUUUUGAUUAUUUUUACCCGUUAAAUUAUACUAUUCAACCAACCACUCACUGCCAAGAAUUGUAGAGAGAGAUUUUUAAUAUUUUUUAAGUGAGACAGUGUGACGAGUUGUCAAAUUUACUUUGCAUCUAUAAAUUAAAAAUCUACCUUAAUAAAAAAUAAAAUAUAUUAGUCAGAAUCUCAAAGCUACAGUGGACGUUGAAUUUUAGUUUACUUGAGGUCCAUAAAAGAGAAUAAGAUGCUCUUCAAUUAUUAUUAUCAAUCAAUUAUUAUUUCGGUAAAAAACAGGAUAAAAGAAAAAAAAAAAAGAAGANNNNNNNNNNNNNNNNNNNNNNNNNNNNNNNNNNNNNNNNNNNNNNNNNNNNNNNNNNNNNNNNNNNNNNNNNNNNNNNNNNNNNNNNNNNNNNNNNNNNNNNNNNNNNNNNNNNNNNNNNNNNNNNNNNNNNNNNNNNNNNNNNNNNNNNNNNNNNNNNNNNNNNNNNNNNNNNNNNNNNNNNNNNNNNNNNNNNNNNNNNNNNNNNNNNNNNNNNNNNNNNNNNNNNNNNNNNNNNNNNNNNNNNNNNNNNNNNNNNNNNNNNNNNNNNNNNNNNNNNNNNNNNNNNNNNNNNNNNNNNNNNNNNNNNNNNNNNNNNNNNNNNNNNNNNNNNNNNNNNNNNNNNNNNNNNNNNNNNNNNNNNNNNNNNNNNNNNNNNNNNNNNNNNNNNNNNNNAUGUUUUGAAAUUUAAAUUUAAAUUUUAAAUUUCAAAUUCUAUCUAAAUUUUAAAAUUUAAUUUUAAAUAUAAGAUUUUUAAAAUUUGAAAUUCAAAUUUAAAUUCAGAAUGAACAUUAAAAAUUUAAAUUUAAAAUUCUAAAAUUCAAUUUAUUUUUGUACAAAUUUAAAUUUUAAAAAUUCAAAUUUAAAAUUUUAAUUUAAAAUCAAAUUUUAAAUUAUUUUAAAAUAAUAUUUAGUAAAAAUAUUAAUAUAUGCAAGUAUCAAAAAAUUUUUGCUAAAUAUAUUUAGAAAAUCACUUUAGAAAAAUCACUUUUAUCUAAUUAAAGCUCAGCCAAACGCUCUACAGUUUUUCACCAAAAUCAAUUCUUCAAACCAAAAUCACUUCUGCAGAAAUCACUUUUACAGAAGCUUGGCCAAACAUGCCCGUACAUAUACGUAGGUCAAAUAAUUUGUAACUUGAGAAGACAUAUAUUUCUCAUGUUUUUGUUUUUUGUUGUACCUUUUUUUUUAUAUAAUUUCAUAAAUGUAGGUGAGGAUGUAAACUAUUGAGAAUAUUGAAAUAUAUAUUAGCUAUAAUAAUUGCAAUUAAAUUUUAAAAAUUGAGAUAGAGUUGUGUAUUAGCCGGCCGCCGUACAUUUGCGAGGGAUGAUACUUACUAGUAUUACAUUGGACGUGCACCUGCUGGAUAUACAUAUACAUAUAAUAAGGUAAUUAGAUCUCUCGGGUACGUAGACGCCUUCUUUUGAGAGCGCUCCGCUUCUUGGUGGACCAGGUCCAGGCAAUCAUAAUUUUCUCUUUUAUUUUUUUAUUUUUAUUUUCCUUCUUCUUCUUCGAAGGAAAGUGAUCUGGGGGACUUGCAUGGGAGGGUAGAUACGUACGUACGUACGUACGUAGUUGUAUUCUCCGGCAGGUGUGAACAAGUACGUACGUUACGUUCUUUUCCAGUGGCCAGCUAUAUAGCUAGCUAGCUAGGUAGCUUCUCUAGUCGCUAGAGCUGUGGCUGCGCGAGACAGUAAUCGAUCGAUCGAGGCCCGGCCCCCCGACAAAAGCAGCUUUUCUCUUAAAUAACGUUCCGGAAGAGAAACAGGAAAGAAGCAAGGCUCCAUCUCAACGUAACGUACGCUAGCUUUAUAUAAAAUUGAACCCACCAUGCAUAUAUAUUAAUGGUCAACGACAAUAUAUAUUUAACCCUAUUAUAAACGUCAAUUUUAUAUAUAUAUAUAUAUAUAUAUAUAUAUAUAAUUGAGCUCCUAUGCUUUUAAAAGUAAGUUAUUGGUGUUUGUAAAUUUUUAGCCAUUAGAUUAAGAGAUAUGCGGUUAGGAUGAUGUGGACCCCUUAGGGUUGAGUGGGUGGUUGGUUGAAUAGUAUAAUCUAAUAAUUAAAAAUGAUCCGAUGAGUAAAUCUAACGGUAAAAAACUUACAAGCACCAUAGCUGGACUAUAUAUAUAUAUAUAGAACUAGGCUGAAAUACUAUCAAUAAUACAAAACUAUUAGUGCCAUUGAUUUUUUAGCCUUUGGAUUGAUAAAUGGGUGGUUAGAAUGAUGUGGGCCCUUUAGGGUUAAGUGAGUGGUUGGUUGAAUAGUAUAAUCUAACGGGUAAAAAUAAUCAAAGGGUUGAAUCUAACGGUGGAAAACUCGAUAGCACCAAAUCCUUGGUGCUAUCGAUUGUACCCCAGCUGGACUCAUAUAUAUAUAUGCUUAUUAUUUUUCUUCUAAAAUAUUAUUAUAUCAUCGUGUAUUUUAUUUUUACUUCAAAAUAAAUUUUGAUUAGUUGUAAAGAAGGUGAAGAAUAGGAUUUUUUUGCGAAUAGCCCCCUGAGCAAUUUUAUUUAAAAAAUAGCUCUAUCAAAAUUAAAAUUGCAAAAAUGGCCCUGUCCUUGCCACGCAGGCGUCACGUCAGCGCCACGCGGGAGUUGAACACGGUGAAUCAUUCACCGUGUCUAAACACGGUGAAUGGUUCACCGUGUUUAGUACGUAUUUUUUGUAUAUUGAAAAGUGGAAUAAGGAGUAGGGACGUCAAUAGGUAUGGAUAUCUGAAAUAUUAUCCGAAUCCAAAUCCGAAUAAAUUAUAUAUAUAUAUAUAUAUAUAUANNNNNNNNNNNNNNNNNNNNNNNNNNNNNNNNNNNNNNNNNNNNNNNNNNNNNNNNNNNNNNNNNNNNNNNNNNNNNNNNNNNNNNNNNNNNNNNNNNNNNNNNNNNNNNNNNNNNNNNNNNNNNNNNNNNNNNNNNNNNNNNNNNNNNNNNNNNNNNNNNNNNNNNNNNNNNNNNNNNNNNNNNNNNNNNNNNNNNNNNNNNNNNNNNNNNNNNNNNNNNNNNNNNNNNNNNNNNNNNNNNNNNNNNNNNNNNNNNNNNNNNNNNNNNNNNNNNNNNNNNNNNNNNNNNNNNNNNNNNNNNNNNNNNNNNNNNNNNNNNNNNNNNNNNNNNNNNNNNNNNNNAUAUAUAUAUAUAUAUAUAUAUAUAUAUAUAUAUAUAUAUAUAUAAUUGAGUUUGAAUAUUUUUACAAGUAUCAUCCCUUUGGUGCUAUUAGGUUUUUAGCCCUUGGAUCUCCUCCUUGAUUACUAAUAGCUCUUGCAUCAAACACUAUUCCACCUACCGCCACCUAACACCACCUACCACCAUCAUCCCAAUCCAAUAUUUCUCUAUUCAAAGAUUAAAAACUUACAAAUACCAUCCACUUGAUGCAUUUAGAAGUCUUCUAGGUCAACUCUAUAUAUAUAUAUAUAUAUUCUCAAUUCGAAAAUAAAACAAAAUGAGAUCCCGCCCGUACGUCCACCUCACCACAUUGUCCCAUGCUGGUUGAAUAAAGUAAUUAAACUGUAGCACGAAAGAAGUAAAUAAAUAAAUAAAGGGCAACAGGAUAUACACUUGAUCUUCUGUUUCCUUUUCACAUUGGUACUUUUUCCUUCGGGGAGAAGCUGUUACUCUAACAAUUAAUUGCACUGUAUAGAAUAUAUAUAUGUCAAACUAAUCUUAUUAGACCGUGUAGAAUUACAAAAAGUCUAAUAAGCAAUAAAAUAAUUAUUUUACGGUUAACUAAUGUUUUUGAAAAACUUUGUUAUUAUAGUUGUGCGCAUUAUGAAAGAAUUUGAUUAGAUAUCAUUAUUAUUCCUAGUUGAAUAAUUGUGAUGGAGAGACUGUCUCAAUUAAUUGCAUGUUAGAGCUCGUUAGUCUGUUUCGGCAUCCGUUUUAAUAUAUUGGGUUCGAUUUUAAUUUUUUUUUUUUUGCAAUUCUACAUAUUAUAUAAUAUAAAGUAAAGUGUGGUGUGAGUAAGACGGUAGGGUGGAUGUUCUUUAUAAUAUUAAUGAAUGAAUGUGACAGCAACGGGAUGGACUAGUGUCAAAGAGAAGAUAUGGGUGUUGGACUCUGUUUGGCAAAAACCAUCUUGGGAAUUAGUGCGUGCAUGCAGCUCAGGACUUUUUUUUAUAGAUUAUAGAAGCGCAGGCAGCUAGCAAAAGGCAGCCAGCCGCAGCGGGCAUAUCUGUCCAGAGAAUAUAUAAUAAUGACCCGUCGCUUGCAUCGCGUAUCCAAAUUGUACCCCAUUCAAUUUUCGAGGCCGGAGUGGAAAUUCUCUCUCCAGCCAAAGCCAAUGGCAACGGAGGGCGUGCCGGCCGCAUAAUUAAAUAUUUUUUAUUAUUGAUUUCUACUAGCCACAUACCGUGUGUGUGUGUAUAUAUAUAUAUAUAUAUAUAUAUAUAUAUAUAUAUAUAUAUAUAUAGUAGGGCUACUAUACUAUUAUGAGUAUUGGGCCCUUCGUACUCAUAAAUUAUUUUCGAUGAUGGAGCUUACGAAUCGACGAUCCGCUCCGUUAAAUAUGAUCUAGAAUAUUUGAAACUUCUAGAAAAUAAAUUUCGUAAUUUUUCGAAAUCGUAAUAAAUCCCAUCAAGCGGGCAUAAAAUGAACGGUCAAAAUCGAACAAUAUCUUAAAAAAGGAUGAUUGGAUCCUUUAAUUUAAGAUCGGAGUUAUUGAUCUUUAUCUAGAUAGUGAAUAGAAUUUUCUAUCAGAAAUUCAACCCAUUCGGAGUCUUUUGCACCGUUAAACUAGCAAGCAUUUCAUAUCAGCCGUUAAAAAUUGUCAAUUUUGUGAGCUUUUAAUCGUAAGGUAAAUGAUGUCGAAAAAUUAUGAAAUUUGAUUUCUAGAUAUUUUAAAUGCUCUAGAUAACGUUUAACGGUGUGGAUCGUCGAUUCGGAAGCUUUAUCAUCGAAAACAACUUAUGAGUACGAGGGUGAUCGUACGCAUAAUAGUAUAGUAGCCGCAUAAUAGUAUUUUAAAUGCUCUAGAUAUUUUAAAUGCUCUAUAUAUAUAUAUAUAUAUAUAUAUAUAUAUAUAUAUAUAUAUAUAGAACUAGGCUGAAAUACUAUUAAUAGCAUCAAUGACUUGGUGCUAUUAAGUUUUCUGCCCUUGGAUUAAAAGAUUUACGGUUAGGAUGAUGUAGGCUCUCUAGGGUUGAGUGGGUAGUUGGUUGAAUAGUAUAAUCGAACGGAUGAAAAUGAUAAAAAAGGCAAAUCUAACGGCAGAAAACUUGAUAGCAUCAAAUACUUCGCGCUAUCGAUAGUAUUACAGUCGGACUAUAUAUAUAUAUAUAUAUAUAUAUAUAUAUAUAUAUAUAUAUAUAUAUAUAUAUAUAUAUAUAGAGUUCGGCAUACUAUGCCUAAUUGAUAGCUACAAGCUUUGAUAGCUAUCUGAGUUUUUCUACCGUUCCAGACUCUACUUCUUUAAUCAAUUCUUCAUCCGUUAGAAUUAUACUAUUAAACGCAAACCCACUGCAACCCUAGGACAUAUCAAUUUAACGCGGAGGACCGCUUAUCAUCCUAAACCGCCACAUCCUUUCAUUCCAACGCAGAAAAACUCAAUAGUAACCAAGGAGUUUGUAGCUAUUGAUAGUCUAUCAGUAGCAUAAUUCUAUAUAAUAUAUAUAUAUAUAUAUAUAUAUAUAUAUUAUAAUAUAAUAUAUAUAGAGUGGGCUGGUAUGCUUAAUAGGAAAGUACGCGAGGCCUUCCGUGCUUCCAAGUUGUUUUCGAUAUUCGGACUUUCGAAUCGACGAUCGGCUCCGUUAGAGUUGAUCUAGAGUAUUUGAAGUAUCUAGAAAAUAAAUUUUGUGAUUUUUCGAUAAUUUGCCUAGUGAUCGAAGGGGCUCAAAAUCAAUAAUUUUAAUGGCCGUGGUGAACCGGUUGCAAGUUUAACGGUGUAGAAAUAUCCAAAUCACAUGAAAUUUUGAUAGAAAAUUUAUACCAUAUAAAAUAAGAUCAGUAACUUUGAUCUAAAAUUUUAAUGUCAUAUCAUCAUAUCAUCAUAUUUUGUAAGAUUUUUAUUUUCAGCCGUUGAUUUUGAGCCACUUCGAUCACUAGGCAAAUGAUAUCGAAAAAUCGCAAAAUUUAUUUUCUAGAUACUUCAAAUACUCUAGAUCAAGUCUAACUGAGCCGAUCGUCGAUUCGAAAGUCCGAAUAUCGAAAACAAAGUGGAAGCACGGAGCCCUCCGUGCUUCCAUAAGCAUCCUAGCCGCACUAUAUAUAUAUAUAGUGUGUGUGAGGCUACUAUGCUUUUGGAAGCACGGAGCCUUCCGUGCUUCCAGGUCGUUUUCGAUGUUGCGACUUUCGAAUCGUCAAUCGACUCCGUUAAACUUGAUCUAGAGUAUUUGAAGUACCUAGAAAAUAAAUUUUAUGAUUUUUCGAUAUCAUUUGCCUAGUGAUCGAAGGAGCUCAAAAUCAGUAAUUGUAAUGGCCGUAGUGAGCCGUUUGCAAGUUUAACGGUAUAGAAAUAUUCAAAUCAUGUGAAAUUUUGAUAAAAAAUUCAUUAUACUAUAUAAAACAAGAUCAAUAUCUUUGAUCUAAAAUUUUAAUGUCAUAUUAUCAUAUUUUGUAAGUUUUUUAUUUUUAGCCACUGAUUUUGAACUCCUUUGUUCACUAUGCAAAUAAUUUCGAAAAAUCGCAUAAUUUAUUUUCUAGGUACUUCAAAUACUUUAGAUCAAGUUUAACGGGACCGAUCGACGAUUCGAAAGUCGCAACAUGGAAAACGACCUGAAAAUACGAAAGGCUCCAUGCUUCCAGAAGCAUAGUAGCCUCACUCUAUAUAUAUAUAUAUAUAUAUAUAUAUAUAUAUAUAUAUGCACGAAUCAUUAAAAUUCUCUUUUUUUCUCCUUUUGAUCUAUGACACUAAUUAGUUGUGCAACUGCCUAUAAACUUAAAUUAAUACAGUCUACAUUUUUGAACUCUAUAAAGAGGCUUAGCUACAGCACUUGAAGCUAUAUCUUAACUGACUGAUGAUAAUUUUAUUUGUCAUUAAGAAGAGCAUUUUUAAACUAAAGGUUCUUACCUACCUAAUCUUCAUUUAAAAUAGAAAAAAUAUUAUUUCACUUUAUAUUGCUUAAUUUUAUCAUACAAUACAUAAAGUGAUAAAAUUUAUAAAAUUAAUUUCAAUUGUAUGCAAGUAAAUAAAUUAUUUAUAAUUACAUACUGUUAGGUGCUGAACUCGCCUUUCUUUGACUUGGUCAAAGAUCUUCCUCGGGAAGUGUGUCGGAAUUCGGGAUGGCUAAGCUUAGUAACCCUCGAAGUUUGUGCCCUUCUACUGGAUCAAGCGAUUCGGCUGACGAGGGAUCAGAUCAGCCGAGUUCGAAAAUCUCUACUGUAGAAUCGGUUCGGCUGGAUGAGCCGAAUGUACGGACUGCACAAAUACUUGGGUCGGCAGAAGAGCCGAACAGAUGGAAUACACAAUGACCGGUCGGCUGAAAGAGCCGAAUGCCUUUAUAUAUAUUGAAUGUAACUUGUGGAAACAGUACAAAGGUCGAGUGUGCCUGAGGGCAUACAGACUCAGUUGAUCUAGCUAAGAUUCUACUCCUAAAAAAAAGCAGUAAGUGCAGGAAAGUAAAGGAUUAUAGGUAGACUACUUCUAGAAAAUGCGAGGAAAUUGCAGAGAAAAUAAAGGUGGUCUUCUGUUCUCGAAGAAAAGAUCCCUUCUCAGGGCGUUAUUUGCCUAUUUAUAACUCGCCCAUGUUGAUCAGUUAUUUUCAUCCAUGAUCGGCCACUCUCCCUAUCUUUUGGGGACACUUUCAGCCGAUUGGAACCGCUUGUAACCGUUUGCGGUUACUGUAACUUCCCUCAGCUAUAUGCGGUGCUUCUUCCGAUGCUCCUGGUGUAUGUAAAAAUUUCUAUUCUUAAGGAACAGUUGGGUGGAGUACUGGUGUACCACCUGGCUGAGCCUUAUUGGCCCAACAAUUGCCCCCUCGACAGCUUCCGAACGGAUGCUUCGGUAGCUGGCAUGAUCCGAGGUGCUACUUCCGAUGCAAUCAAUUUCAAAUUCUUUGUACGGUUUCGUCUCAGCCUUUCAUUUCUUUUCUACGGCCACGAUCCCGCCAUCCUUUUUGUCUUAUAUACGGCAUUAAUUAGGUCAUCUUAAUUGCCGCCGUCUCUUCAUCAUUCUAGCCGGCCUCAGAACUUGCUUCGACACGAUGAUACGACGCGACGGCUUCCUUUUUCUUCGCUAAGCUUUUUCCUCAAGCUUCAUUCUUUUUGCCUUUUUCUUUUCUUUCUAUCGUCUUCUCCGCUUAUCUCUCUUCUAUCUGAAUUUUAACCCACUUCUUUCCAUCCUUAGGGUUUUUCUUCACUUUUCCUUAGUUUUAGGAAUGACGCCGCUUCCGGCUCUUCUGUCUUCUUCGUCUUUAGAUUAUAACAUAUUUAGACAGUUCGUCGAAUCGGACCCUUCUCGAUUCAUUUUAGGUCCUUCUUUCACAGACGAACCGACCUCUAACGAUUUCCCAUUUUCUAGUGACGGUCUUCCAUUGAUAGCCAAAACCAUUCAUCUCUAUUCUUGGUACUCAUCACUUCGACAGGAAAAAGCCUCCGGACCUGGCCAAGUGUCUCAGACGCAUACCUGGCUUGGCUAGACUGGGUAGAAGCUGUCUAUGGUGACUUUUGGCGGGAAGUAGGUAUUUACGAGGCGAUUAAAUUAUCUCGGCAACCCCCUGUAGCCGAUAAUUUUUUAGCCGCUGCUCUCUGUUUUUGAUCCACUGUUUCCAACGUUUUUCUUUUGAAAAGAGGACCCCUCACUCUCACUCUUUUCGAUGUCGCCGCCAUCAUUGGCUUACCACCUUAUGGAGUUACCCUCUCCGUGUCUUACAAUCCUGAUGGCGUGUCUAAUUUUGAGGCUCACCUUGACCUCAAUGACCUGGCUUAUUCCAAAUUUCUCCGCAAGUUUACAGGUGAAUCUCCUGCUGCGAUUAUGAGGAAGGAGCAUACAGCUUUUCUUCUAUAUUGGUUAUGUCACAAUCUUUUUUGUACCCGUUCGUAAAAAAUUAAUCGGGAUUUUGUUCCAAUCGCCGUAGGUUUAGCCAACGGCGAUAGAUUAGCUUUAGCACCCUAUUUUCUUGCUUUUGUUUAUAGGGAGAUUUUUUAUUUAUCAAAUCACUACCUUCUGGAGAUGGUGUGACCAUCAGCUCUGGUUGUGGUGUUUUUUGAUUUUUGCAAAUUUAUAUUCUUGAUUUGUGCCGAGAUCUUUAAAUCUAAAUUCGGCUGCUCAAUAUAAUUCUUAUGGGUUAGCUCUCGGCUGUCCACAGCCGAAGACAUUGGGUCACCCUCUUGAUUUUAUUACUUAUUUCCAGACUUUUUAUGAGCCACGUCCUCAAUCUGCUAUUUCCUGGUCUCCAUUCGCUGAUCGUCUCACUGGCCCAUCCUAAUUUCUUGCUCGGUAUGAGGCCUUUCAAGGCGAAUUGGCCUCUUCUCGUGCCAGUGAAUAUUCAGACAUAUGGUAUUCUUUUUUGGCUCCAAGGGAUCUGCAUGUAGGGCUGAAAUCGCGCUCAAAACUGCUGCGGAGUACUGAAGUUUAUUACCCCCAGUUCGUAGCGCGUCAAUUUGGACUUAUACAAGCGAUUCCUGCUCCAGCCAAAUUCUUUACGGCCAAUACAGCUGUCAAUCGGCCUCCUACCAAAAGUAUAGCCGAAGCUGAUCGAAUUUCGGCCAUGGGGAACUAUCUUCGGCGGUUCUUCAAAUUUGUAAGCUUUAGGCCGAAUUAUACAGGUGCAGUGUUUUUCCGCUAUACCGUGACUUGGGAUCAGUUUUCUGAUCGAGUCUUUGACUUAUCCACUAUUCGGGCACAUCGCAAGACCAUCCAUCCACUUGGUAAAUCCCUUGCUAAGUUUUAUAAUUAUUCUUCUUUAAAAUGAUUUCUACUUACUUUUCUUCCAUAUACAGCGGUGCCUUUUCCCAGCAGUUUGGUUGAUACCGCUGCUCCAUCCGCACCAAGGGAAGAAUCGGAAGAGAACUUCGAUCAUAAUUCUUGCGUCCCACCCGCUUCUUCUGUAGUAAGCUCUACUCUUUUUUGAUUUGAUUUUCCUUUUACUUAUAUGAUUAUUGCUUACUUUUAUCUUUAUCUAUUUCAUAUAUAGCCGAUUCCAUCUUCUUCAUCGAUCCCAGCUUCAGAGAAAAGACCGAUGGAGCCUGAACAGUCUACUCCUCCGCUGCCUUCAAAGCGGCGUAAGUCCGUUGCUAAGAAGGCACAUUCUAAGAGAGCUGAAGGCAUUUCUUCGACUGAUGUUUUAGAGAAAAAGCCGAAGAUACACCUUCGGCUGAUAUUCCAGAAGGAAGAGCCGAAGAAACACCUUCGGCUGAUGUUUUAGAGCAAGCCUCUGUUCUUAAUGAGCCAAUCACGAUUGAGGUAAAUCAAUUCGGUUAGCUAAACUCAAUCUUUCUUUUGUUUCAAUUCAUUUAUCAUUUCUUCUUAAUAAAACAGUCACCUCCUCAAGACCCUUCAAGAGCCCGUUUUUCUUCUUCUUUGGGGACGCAGAUUGAUAGACAACUCCGUCGAGAGACCCGUCUUGAGAAGAAGCGAAAGACAAAAAAAAGGGGCUGCCCAAGAAAUGAGCAAGAAAGUGCCGACAAGUGAUGUGGCACCGCCCUUAUCUACUCCAACAACAACAACAGAGAGGGAAAAUGUAGGCACACCUUUGGAGAAGGGUGUUAAGGAGGCAAGUGCAAUAGCCCACUCAACUCCUGAAGCCUCAGUGCCCGAAAUUGAAGACCCUCUUUCUGCAACUCUUCAUGCUCUGUUGGUUUCGAGUCUCAAUUCCAACGAAGGAGACGACUCAUCAACCGUCGUUAUAUCAACAGACACUCAACAAAAAUUUGAUGAGUGUCUAAGAUUGUAUAGUCAUGGUGUCCCAUCCUUGGCUCGAAAUUCAGAGCAAUUUGAUCAGCUAUGCGCACUUUUGUUUGAUUUAGCCGAUCAGCCAGACAUUUCUUCCGUUGGCAAAUAUUUUGUAGAAACUUUAUCAUCUCAGCUUUCUUCUUUCUUGUCUCGGCAACAAUCUCUAGCUGCCGAGUUUUCAUCUUUAGACCACCACUUUCAUCAAGUUGACCACUUCAAAUUGACAGUUCCUGAAGUGGCGACUCCAAUAACUGACAUAAGUCGAGAAGAUCAAGCCUUAGAAAACCAAGAAUCGGCCUUGCAGCAACGGAUUUCAACUCUUAAGGAGGAACUAGUUGCGGUCGAAUCGGCUCUGGCUCACACUUCUGAGCGUUGGCUUCUCUUGCAAGAUCAACUGAAGAUCAAGAGGAGCGCAGGGAUGAAGCUUCAAGAUAAGGUUUCUCAACUCUACAAAGUGCAUCCCUUAUUGAAGCGCAGGAGGAAAGCAGCCGAAACCGCUCAAGCCAACUUAAUAGCCGAAUGGAACCAACUUAAGGAUUUACUAUCUUGAUUCGGCUUAUUGAUUGUAAUAUUCUAACUCUGACUUUGUUCAUUUUCCUACAUGGAUGGAUAAUACUUUUUCAGAUAUUUUCCAUUGAUUGGCUUCUCAUUUUCUAACCCAUCUAUGCUUUUUAAAUAAUAUGCAUUUCCCUUUGUAAUUCUAUUAACCUGAAAUGGUUCUUCCCAAUUUGGAGACCAUUUUCCAUAUGCUCGGUCUUUUCGACCGAUUGAAAAUAUUAGCCUAAGAACCAAGUCUCCAACUGCAAAAGACUUAGUUCUAACUUUUUUAUUGUACGCAUUGCGUACUCGGCUCUGAUAAACUUGUAAAUAAUUUAACGCUAUCAGUCGAGUUUCAUUCAUUUUUUCUAUUCUUUCAUUCAUUAUAACAUUAUAUUCAUCAGUCGUCAGUUCUUUUUGUUUUUCUACUCUUAAGAAGGAAACUGUUAUUUCGGCAGGUACCACGGCCUCAUGGCCGUACACUAAUUGAAAUGGCGUCAUCCCUGUUGCCAUUUUUACUGAAGUUCGGCAUGCCCAUAAUAUUUCGGAAAGUCUUUCGUUCUAUUUUUUCGGAUAUUUUUCAAUAUGCCGCUUCAUAAGGUUUAUGAUUACCUUAUUUGCUGCCUCGGCUUGUCCAUUGGCCUGAGCAUAAUAAGGCGAUGAAUGAAGUAACUUUAUCUUUCUGGAUCGACGAACCGAACAAAUUGUCCUCUGGUGAACAUUGUUCCUUGAUCGGUUGUAAUUGUUUCGGGAACUCCAAAACGAUGAAUUAUAUAGUCUUCGACAAAAUCAAUAAUUUCUUUUUGAGUGACGAAUCUAGCGAGUUUUACAUCUACCAACUUAGUGAAAUAGUCAACGGCCAUUAUUAAAAACUUAUGACCAGCCGAAGAAUUCGGCUCAAUCUCUCUAAUCAAAUCCAUAGCCCAACCUUGGAAAGGCCAAGGUUUAAUUAUCGCGUACAUCUCAGAGACAGGAACUCUCUGUACUGAACCGUGGAAUUGACAAUCUUGGCAAUCUUUAGCAUACUCUAUGCAAUCUUGAUGUAUAGUCGGUCAGUAAUAACCUAAGUGCCGGAUUGUCCAUCUCAGUCUUUUUUCCUGCUAAAUGGGCUCCACACAAACCCUCAUGAGUUUCUCCCAUUACCAACAAAGCUUCUUCAGGCCCUAAACAUUUCAAUAAAACUUCUUCGGCUGUUCUCUUAUAAAGCUGUCCAUCCAAUAGAUAAUAGCCGAUUCCCCUUCUUCGAAUGUUAUAGUCGACUCGCUUAUUAGGGUCCUCUAAAUAUUCUAUUAUAACCUUUCUCCAGUCUUCUUUGGCCUCUAUGGGAGCGAUUAUAAUCGGCUCUCUCACAUGAACCGAUGGCAACAAUCGUCGUUCUAUUUUCACUUCACUCUAUUUCGGCUCUCUAUACCCUGAAGCCGAUUGGGCUAGUUCAUUAGCUUGUUUGUUUUCUUCUCUGGUCAUGUGUUCAAACCCGACCUUUCCGAAACUGUAAAGUAAUUCUAACGCUUUUCUCAAAUAAUUUUAUAAAUUUCAGUUCUCACAUCGGUAUUCUCCAUUCACCUGUUUAAUUACCAGUUGUGAAUCACCGAUGACUUUGAGCAAGUACACUCCUAACUCUUGUAGAAUUUCAAGGCCAACUAUUAAGGCCUCAUAUUCGGCUUGAUUAUUGGAACAACCAAAAUCUAAUUCAAAAGCAAAUCGAUAAAUGUAUCCCUAAGGAGACUGUAUAACCACCCCAGCUCCAGCGGACUCGACUGUUUUUGAGCCAUCAAAAUAAAGUGUUCAAGGUUGACAGCCGAUUAAAUUUUAUUUUGGCUCUUCAAACUCAAUACAUGGAUGUUCAGCCAGAAAAUCGGCUAUUGCCUGUCCCUUAACAGCUUUUGCUAGGACAUAAUUAAGAGAGAAUUCGAACAAGGCCAGCAUCCAUCGUCCGAUUCGACCUCUUAAUACUGGCUUAGAUAACCUAUAUUUCACCAAAUCAGUUUUGUAUAUUACCGAUACUUCGGUUUGUAAAAUAUAAUAUCUUAAUUUUGUACAAGCAUAGUACAAGGCCAAACAUAAUUUUUCAAUUGCCGAAUUUCGUUUUUCGGCAUCUAACAAUCGUCUGCUUAAAUAGUAAAUGGCCUGUUCUUCUUUUUCUUCAUUUUCUUGAGCCAACAAACAUCCUAAAUUUUCUUCUGCAGCCGAAAUGUAUAACUUCAUCGGCUGUCUUUGUUUAGGAGGCAUAAGGACUGGAGGAUUUGCUAAGUAUCUUUUUAUAUUUUCAAAUGCUCCUUGUUGUUCCUCUGUGCAAAUAAAUUCUUCCUGACUUUUGAGCCGAAGUAAUGGAGUGAAAACUCCUAUUCUAUCAGCCAAGUUUGAUAUGAAUCGCCGCAAAUAAUUAAUUUUUUCUAAUAAACUUUGCAACUCUUUUUUAUUCUUUGGUGGCGGCAAUUCUAAUAUAGCUUUUGUUUUGUUUUUAUCGAUUUCAAUCCCUUUUUUAUGUACCAGAAAUCCUAGAAAAUUUCCUGCUGAAACUCUAAAAGCAUAUUUUAAGGCGUUCAUUUUCAAAUUAUAUUUUCUCAUUCUUUCGAAAGCGAGUUUUAAAUCCACCCAAUGAUCGACUUGUGAUUUGGAUUUUACAACUAUAUCGUCGAUGUAAACCUCCAACAUCUUGCCAAUUAAGUCAUGAAAAAUAAAAUUCAUUGCUCUCUGAUAAGUAUCUCCGGCAUUUUUCAAACCGAACGGCAUAACUACCCAUUCAAAGGUCCCAAUAGACCCUGGGCAUCUAAAAGCCGUUUUAGCUACAUCUUCUUCAACAAUAUAAAUUUGGUUGUAACCGGCAUGUCCGUCCAUAAAGGACAGGAUUUCAUUCCCGGCUGCCGAAUCCACUAACAUAUCAGCUAUAGGCAUUGGAUAUUCAUCUUUAGGCGUAGCGAAAUUCAAGUUUCUAAAAUCAAUACAAACCCUAAGUUUACCAUUCUUUUUUUGUACUGGAACUAUAUUGGAUACCCAAUCAAUAUAACGGGCCGCUCUAAUAUAACAAACACGCCCUCGACCACAGUCAGCACCACAGUCGGCCACGCCCUCGACCACAGUAAUAAAAAUGGUUUCGUACUGGGAUGGCCGUUGCGGCCACGCCCUCGACCACAGUCGACACCACUACAGGGGGCAUAGGUGGCUCGACGCCUACUUGAGCCGCCGCCGCCUGAUGCUGCUCUAAGGCUUCUUGAAGCCUUUGAAUUUGCUCCUCCUGGUGUUGCACCGAUUCCGCUUGUUGUCCCACUACUCCAAUAAGUGCGGACAUUUGUUCCCGAAGCUCCCCGUCGCCACUCGCUUCGGAUUGCUCGGGGGCUGUGCUCGGCUCCUCAGGCAUCGACCUUGUUCGAGGUCUACCACGAGCCAUUACUUCCUAGAACGUAGCAAUUUAUGUUAGCUACACAACCAAUAUACUCAACCAAACCCAAUCCGGCGAAAGCAAACAAGUGAAUUUAUCCUCACUCCAAAGCAUAGUGUUGUCAGUCGCUCAACACAACAUAAGGAGUAGAGAACAAAUAUCAACUUGGAUUAGCCCCUAACAACACUAGAGACAUAAUAAUAUUAACCUAAUCACAAAGCUUUCGCUAUAAUUGAUUCCACGUCUCUCACGUUUCCUAGAUCCUUGAGUUUUCCAUCCUAAGGGUUUCUAGGUCUAUCUUAUACUUUCACUUUCCAGGCUCUGAUACCACUAUAUCUGUCACGCCCCGAGCCCGCCUGUUUGGUCGGUUCGAGCACGUCGAACAGACGCCGAACGGACAGUACCUCCCCUAUCCGCCCAAGGCUCAACACAAGUACAAAUCAAGUAUAAAGUUUGCACAAGCUGAAACAUAACAUACAUGGCUUGCACGAGAGCAAGCAAUAGCGAAAAGUGAAAGUACUAAACUAAAUAUCCAUACAAGUGCUAUGAUUAACUUUUAAUCACAUACAUGCAUUCAACACCUACAUUCACAUUCUUUUCAUUCAUUUAUUCUCUUUAUAUAUCACAUGAUCUCCAAAAUAAGCUUUUACAUUUAAACAUCAUUUAUACAUUUGCAUCAUUCAUAAUACUAAUAUCAUCAAAUACAAAAGAUGAUAUAUAGGGUAUGCAACUAAACAAGUAUAAAACCAACUCGGGUAGUCUCUGUCUAUGGCGCGAUACCUUUACUGCGAUCGUCGGUCGCGGCUCUGUGGAAAUAGUGGGGUGAGAACUACAACAAAGUUCCCAGUGGGUUCGGCCGCCGACCUCGCCGACUUUUCCACCAGAUCUAAAUCAGGCAUAAUAGAAGAAUAAACGAUAGAUAGUAACCAACUAAACAAAUGCAGCUAAUAUGCCUGAACAAGAUAUAAUCAACAAAGAUGCUCAAAUAGAAUGCUCAUGAUGAAUGUAAGAUCAUAAUUCCAUUGCCCAAUCCUCUUGGCUAACCCGCAGGUUUCGCCCAAAGCAACUCACCAACUCAAAAUCCCUACUAUCGGGGAGAUACUAGCUACAACCCGACGGGACCGUCCUCUGGGGAGAUACUCGCUACAACUAAGUGAUGACUACUCCGGAGCUCAUCGCUCGAGGGGGUGCGACGGCCCUCAAGCUAAGACUUAUAGGUGAGUAUGAUCCAAUCCUUAACUAUAAGGAUGCUAUGUCACAUAGGCCAUUUUCUUACAUUCUUUAUACUCAUUCAUGCCACACACAUCUAGUGUCUCAUGUUCUUGCAUUAAUUGUUCUCAUCAAUGCUACACUAUGUGUUAUCCCUAGCAUUCAAUACUCAGUAGUGCCACACUUGUACACUAGCGUUCUUGACUCAUUAAUGCCAUACUUGUUCACUAGCAUUCAAAACUCAUUGAUACCACUCUACUAUUGAUGUCAUAAUGUCAUUUGUUCUCAAUGUCACUAGAUUGUUUACCUUUCCUAGGUUCUUAUCAUCAUUCAUGCAUACAUAGGGUUUUACAAGUUCUCAAUAGUUUGCAAUCAUUUCAUAUGCAUUUAUACUCAAAGCAUGCAACAACAAGCUCUCAAUCACCAUACAAUACAUGAAGCUCAAUAUACACAUAUGCUCGAGAAAUGACAUUUUAGACAUAAAAGGAAAUUCGAGGAUUUCGAAAAGCACCACCCACCUCGUAGGGUUGCUAAGGUGCUACGGUUCGAAUCUCGUGAUUUUUAGCCGCCUAUUUCUUCGCCUGCGGCAAAACGAAGUCAAAUUAGACUUUUUCCCCAAUAUCUUCGUGUAGACUUGUCAGAUCUUCAAACCGAGUCUCCCAACACGUCGGAAAUACCCCCAAUUUGGUUUCUACAAGAUCAAUUUAUAUUUAAACCAACCUAUGAUAAAAGCCUAAAUUUUGGAGCCCUAACAAUGUCAUAUAGCAACAUACACUAUAAUCCCUCUUAAAUCAAGCAAUAGCAAGAUUGUUUUCCUCUAAAGGUUCAUCUAAAAUCAUUUCUAGGUCAUUUAAUCCAAAAUCUAGAGUUCUACCAUGAGAGGGCUCAAAGCUUACCUCUAAGCUUUCCUUUCCUUGUGCUAGAGAAGAAGAAGAAGAGUUGCUCCACUUCCUUAGCCUCCUUCUCUAGCACCAUUCCUUGUUUCCACCUCUUGGAGAGAGAGAGAGAGAGAGAGAGAGCUCGUAGUGUGUGGGUGUGUGCGGAAAUGAGAGGGAAUGAGCCCUAACUCACUUCUAUACACUCUCACAUGUCACAUUUGCACAUAACACCCCUAACUCCCCUCUUUCUCACACUGCCCAUACUGGGCUCGGCACGACUACGGGGUCCGGACCCUGCAGCUAGGGUCCGGACCCCAAGAGCAUGACUUCUGCGAAAAAUUGCAGAAUUACACAUAAUGCUCUCCAAGGUCCUCUAACACCCUACACAACUCAUUUUAAUACGUUUACUUUCCGAAAGUUCCAAGGCGACCCACUUCGCACUUUAGUCAAUUUGGCUAAAGUUCGAUAUUCUCUACCGAAGUUUUGGUACAUUACAUCUAAAGUGUCACUUCUUGAGCAUAUGUGUAUAAAUGAGUUUCAUGCAUUGUAGGGUUGAAUGAGAUAUGUUGCUUGCAUGUUGUGAGUACGAGAUGCAUAUGAGAUGUUAGUGAGCUAUUGAACAAGUUGUAAACCCUAUGAAUGUGUGAAUUGUGAUGAAAACCUAGUUGAGGUAAAAGAACAUAGUGACAUUAUGACAUGAGUAAAAUGAAUGCUAGUUGAGCAAAAUAGUGGUGUGGCAUUAACGAGUCAUGAAUGCUAGAGUUGAACAAUUAGUGGUGUGGCAUUAAUGAGUCAUGAAUGCUAGAAAUGAGACAAAUAGAGUGUGUGGCAUUAAUGAGUAUAAAGAAUGCUAGAGCCUGAAACACUAGUGUGUGUGGCAUCAAUGAGAGUAAUAAAUGCUAGAGAGCUAAAGAAUGCAAGAAAAUGAGAUAUUUGGUAAUUGUGGCAUAUGUCAAUUUGACAACCUCAUAGUUGAGGCAUCCUUAUAGUUAAGGAAUGAAUUGUGCAUAAUAUCCUUAUAGUUAAGGAUCGGAUUGAACUGGACAUCUUUGUAGUUAAGGAUUGGAUCAUACUCACCUGUAAGUCUUGACUUGAGGGUGGUCGAUCCCCAUCGAGCGAUGUGCUCCGGAGUAGUCAUCACUGGGUUGGUGCUUUCCCCAUAAGACGGUCCCGUCGGGUCGUAGUAGUCUCCCCGAUUUUAGGGAUUUGAGUUGGUGAGUUGCUUUUAGACGAAACCUACAGGUUAGCCGAGAGAAUUCGGUAUUGGAAUUGAGAUCUUGCAUGCAUCAUGAGCAUUCUUAUUGAGCAUCCUUAUUGUUAUAUCGUGUUCAGGCAUAUUAGCUGCAUUUGUAAAGUUUGGUUACUUAUCUAUCUGCUUAUUUUUUCUAUUAUGCCUGAUUUAGACAUAGUGGGAAAGUCGGCGAGGUCGACGGCCGAACCCACUGGAAACUUUAUUAUAGUUCUCACCCUACUAUUUUUCACAGAUCAAGGUCCGAGUGAGGCAGUCGAGGACCGUGGCAAGGGUAUCGCACCCAAGUUAGCGACUACCCGAGUAUAGCUUCAUACCCGUUUAUCAUCUUUUGUAUUUGAUGAUGUUAGUAGUAUGAAUAAUGCAUUAAUGUAAAAGCUUAAGUUUUUGAGGAAAGAAAUGUUAUGUAAUUUUGGAGAUCAUAUGAUGUAUAAGAAAAGAAUGAAAAGAAUGUAAAUGUAAGAUGUGGUUGAAUGCAUGUAUGUGAUUAAAAGUUUACUUAUAUGUAUGUUUAGUUUGGAAUCUU